rnacentral:lncRNA from 1 species
UACAAGGUUACAUUUCCAAGAAAUAAUCUUAUUGAAAGUAUUUCAAAUAAUUUUUUUCCAUUCGCUUGUUAAAAAUAUAGAGCACAACACGACAUAGGUUAUCCUACUUCUAGGUUCCGGGACAACGAGGCAUGCCAGAGGCAGGCGGCGGAAGGAUGCUUGUUUCAACGGUGGUUCCAUUCUUCACAAUGAAAACAGUGUCCAUACCCCAGCUACUAUGCCUUUCGAAAUGACAGUGCAUAAACCAUACCCCUGCAAAAAUAUAUACGUCAUUCGUAUCAAUAACUCACUCUCUGACUUGCAAAAGGACGAGGAAGAGUUCUCUUUCCUUCAUUUAAUUCAGAACUUACCGGGAUUAGUUGCAAAAAAUCUGACGGCAACCCAUCCUCUAGCAGGAACAUGGACAGUGUUAAUUAGUGGUGGAUCAACCAAGUUGUAAGAGCUAGGAUCGGUGACAUUAUUGAAAUUUCCCGAGCCAGUCCCGACCCAAUAGAAACUGAAACCGUGCAAAUGCAAUGGAUGACUUCCGCCACCACCUAAUUCGGUUGCUUGGAGAACAAUCUCAACUGCUUCACCGAAAUUUAGAACAACGGCCUUUGUCCCUAGACUAGCAUUCGGAUUAAAACCAGCCAAUUCUCCAGUGAAGUUAUAGAACUCGGGUGGCUGAAGGGGAAAGUCUUCCGUGAAAACACCACUGAUACUCCUGUCAUAAGAAAAAUGAUAAUUAUUAGCUUUAGUAAUGAAAUAGAAAAGAUAGGAAGGCCACAAUGGCAAUAGCUCCAAACAACAAAUUGUAAUAAUUAAAUGUAAUACACAUGCUAUCCAUAUACCUGUUGUAGUAUGCUUGGAGAAUGUCAAUUUGUGGAAAAUCAAAACUAACAUUGUUCAAACUUGCAGCUGAUCGAGUCUGUUGAAAAUUACAAUUAUCGCAAGGUAAAUUAUUUGUGGCAAUUGCAAUGUAGACACGCCUAUCGAUAUCCAUCGGUACUUUCAUUAGCGGAUUUUGUGUGACGUUUGCAUUUUUAAUUCGUCUGGUGAAGUUAGCUGCAGCAUCUAAAUCAGUCAUUGCGGGCAGCGUUAUUAAGGAAGCAUUCAAUCCACCAACACUGUUUGUAUAUUGAAAAACACCCGUCGUGAUAUUAUUGCGAGGUGGAAAAGCGCUAUCAGAGAAAGGCCUAGUAGCCAUGUAAUACUGGCCAAUGUUUUGGUUUGCAAAGACCAAAACAUCCAUGGUUUGCCCCGGGCUUAUCAUUAUAUAGUCGUUUGUAAAAAUUUGAACGUAGGAAGCAUCUUGUGCAACGACUGUGAGGCUGUGAUUUGCGAUGGCAAAGAAUUUCUGUUCAUUCAUUGCAGCAUUGAUUAUGCGGAGAAGGUAUGUCUUCUGGUAAUCAACUUGCAUACGGAAUAAAGUUUCUGCAGCAGGUCAUGUAAAUUGUGACUACGAGAAGGUCAAUUUAGAAACAAGAAUAACAGGAAGAAAGUUCAAAUUAAGGAGUAACUAUUCCUGAUUUGAGUGCUAGAAGAACUUCUAUUAAUGAUUGGCAUACGUACCAUUGGCACAUGUGUACGUGUCUCCUAAAUGCCCAUUGAUAGCGUAAGCAUCUGGUGAAGCUACAGGCGUACCGUUUGAAGUUGCUUCAUCAAUAAGUUCUUUGUAAUCUCUAUUAUACCAUGAUUCUGUCAAUAAAAUAAAGAAACGAGAUUAAGAUUUUCAUAUAAUUUAAAUAAGACAAACGAUGGGGAAUGUUUUUAUGCGUAUCAUUUUAUGACCAUCUAUUUAGUCAAUUAUAAAAAGAACAAUUUUGAAAAGAUAUAAAUCCAUACGAAGAAUGAUUGUUUGAUCUGCAUCAGGCGUAGGAAAUGGAUAAGUUUCAUUCUCAGCAGGUAAAAUGACAAAGGCACCAUGGACGGAGCCACGAGUCCAAUCACUGUGGGCAUGCCACCAUAAGGUUCCUAUUUCAUCAGACAGUAUAACUUCAUAAGUGAAGUUUGUUCCUGGUUCAAUCGGGCACUGUGUUACGUAUUCGGGGCCAUCUGACCAUGGAUUUCUUGGUUGUUUCACACCGUGCCUAUCAAAGUAAUUUUCAAUGAAUCAAUAUUUAAUGAAAGCAAGAAGUGAGAGAGAGAGAGAGAGGGAGAUUGGUAAUUACCAGUGAAUGGUAAGGCCAUAGUUCCCUUGAUUGUGGACAUUAACAUACACAGUGUCCUCUCUGUGAACCCGAAUCUCCGGCCCAGGAUAACUGCCAUUUACGACCAACAUCGACUUGGUGGUGUUACACAGGCUUGUAAAGUUCGUCUCUCGUACCUGCAACCAAAGACGCAAGCUAGAUUAAAUCUCAAUCUUUCAAUCACUGUUAAUCUUCACUCUCAGGAGCUUUGCCACGAUUCUUGGAGUCAUAUACUACUAUUAUUAGAAAAACCUGAUGCAUAAUCAGUUAGAGUAAACAAGCACUUACAAAGAACUCAUAGUAGUGGACGUCUGCCCUGCAAAGGAGCAGGGUACUUUGAAACAAAACCCCUAGCAACCACAAGACUAAAUCUUGCUUCAAUAAACCCAUUACUGUUCUCUCAAACUUUUCUUUUUUUCUCUCUAAUUAUGUGUUCGUCAGGUCACCUCCUAUUUUCUUCUGUGAUCUUUGGGGUCAGAAAUUUUGACAAUUUAUAGAAGAAAACGUGUGCUCCAAAGUUUCUUCUUGGAAGUCUAAGUUAUUGACUGGGUCUAAGCUUAUUGGAAGUCUAAGUUAUUGAAAAUUCCAAAGUAAAUGCCAAACCUCAAACAUGGCAUUCAGUCAAUAAAUACGAAUCACGUCUCCAGGCACCAGGCAUCCAUCGGAUUGUACAUAAAACCAUGUAAAAGUCUGCCCAUGUUAAUAUAUUUUUCUGAAGUUUUCUUUAUCUUAAUUGUGCUUGUGAAAAAACGCUUGUCUUAAGGUUAAUAAAUAGGUUUCGGUGUCUCAAGUCAGGUUGUUCGUUGUGGUUCUGUUUUUUUUUUUUUUUGAUCAAGCAUUUAUUUAAAAUUUGUUAAGUCAACAAAAUAAGUUGGGCAUAGUUCACACAAAGGUCAAUAAUUUUGAAUACAUGAUUUUUUUUUGCUUAUAUGUUUACUCAGGGGCGGAGCUAGCCAAAUUUUAUUAGGAGGGCCAAACACAGUUAAAUAAAAGUUAAAAAUUUUAAAAAAUUAAUAUGUUAAAUUCAAUCAAUAAUAAAAAUAUUGGUAAUAGAAAUAUGAAACUAAAUAUAAAACUAUAAUUUGUAAAAUAUAAAUAGUUAAAAACGAUAUAUAAGAGUAAUAAUUUUUUCUUAUAUAAUCAGAAUUAUUUAAAUACUAUAUAUUCAAGCAAAUUUCAUUUUAACUAAAUAUAAAAUGUAAAGUAUAUAAAGACAAUAUGCUCAAGUUAAUUUCCUCUUACAUAAUCAGGAUUAAUAAAAAAAAUAAUACGUUGAUGAAAUUUUAAGUAACAAUAUAAUAUUACAAUUUAUAUUUGAGAACUAUAUAAUAAUUUAUUAAUUUUUAAAGAUUAAAAUCAUGGACAAUAAAAUUUAUGUAACUUAAAAAUGAAGAACAUGGCAAGUAGAAGGUAGCUACCACAUAUUACAUAACAAAAAAGAAAGAAAAAGAACCUGGUUAAUGGUUUGUAGAAAUUUGGGAAAGAAUAUUUAUAAAAACUUAUAACAUACGAAUAAAUAGAAUAAAAAUAAAUAAAUAAAUAAAUAAAUAAAAUAAUAAUAAUAUAAAUUAAAAAAUUUAAAGUUGAGUGAGAUAAGUGAAAUCAUUUUAUUAUUUUUUAUUUAUAUUAAUCAUUAAAUAAAAUAUUAUUUUGAGGGAGUAAGUAAUAAAAUAUAUAAAAAAGUUUAAAAAUUUUUAUAUGUUAUGAAAAAAAUUUUAAAAGUUUUGAGGGGGCCAUGGUCCCCCCAUCACAUAAGGAGGCUCUACCCCUGUGUUUACUGAAAAUAUUAGAUUUUGUCAAUAGUAAAUUUUGAACUUAUAUUAUUUAAUUUGAUUUUUCUUUUAUAUAAAAACCGGCUUAGCAUAUUUGGUCUUGACAAUAAUCUGAUUAAGUGGGCUAGAUUUCAAUAUUACAUGUAAACUUAAAAAUAUAAGCCUCAAUACGAAAAUUUAAAACAUUGUAAUAAAUAGAAUUAAAUAUUCACUAUAUAAAGGAAAGGUUAUAACAUCUCAUUUCCUUUCCACAACUACAUUAAAGUCUCAGUUAUUGAAAAGUUAGCUAAAAAAAGAUGAAGAAGAUUCUAAUACAUUGAAUCCCAACAAUAAUGUGAUUAGUAUUAUUUAUGUCAAUGAAUCAUGUAUCAAAAGUCAGGCGUAUCUUUAUAUUCUAAAUUCUUAUUAUAAUAAAUCUUGAAUUAGUAUGAAUUUAUUAUAUAUAAAAUCUAACAAAAAUUCUCAAAAAAGAAAAGUUAUAAUUGAUAUCUUUUACCCAUUCAAUCAAUUUUGAAUUCAAUGUUACCAACUAGUUAACUAAAGCUUGUAUUUUCUGUAUGGGAACCAAAUUAAGGUUGGUUUGUUAAGACAGAAGCUUCCUUAAGCAACUGAAGAACAAGCAUCAGAAAAAGUAUUCAAGGAAAAGUAAAGGCGGAAAGUUUAUCAUUAUCCCUUUGAAUGUUACUACUUCAAUCAGCCUGCCAUGCACGACUAUAUUUGUCAACUUUUUCCCAGGUUAGUUAUUGGAAAAACACACGAUUGAGAUGUAUCCAAUUAAUGCUUCUAGGAAAGCUCCCUAAGAUACGCUUCUAGUAAGUUAUAUGAUUUAUACUAAUAAAAAUAUAAUCACAUUAGUUAACAGUGAUGAAUAUAAUCAUAGAAUUAAAUUAAAUAUAAUCUAUAUCAUGAACUUAAUUGUACUUGUUAUUGAUAUAUUUUUUAUUUUAAAAAUAUUUAUAUUUUUAUUAUAUAUCAAUAUUAGUGUUAUCAAAAAAUAUAUAAAUGUUAAUGUCAGCAUAUUCUUUUGAUGAUAACAACGUAAUCCUAAAAUUCAAUCAUCAUUCAAAACAUAACAUUUGAUAAUAAAAUUAUUUCAUUAACAAAUUUUGAUUCAAUUUUUAAUAACAAAUAUCAUAAAUUAUAACAUUCUUUGUUUAUAUUUCUUAUGUAGCUGUGUAUAAGUAUAUUAUAUUUGAAACAUAGCAUCGAAGAGGCUAAGUUGAAAAAAAAAAACAUAGCACUGAAUAAACGUAGAAUUUAAAUUCAUUCACAACAUUUAUAAAUUAGUAAUUAAAAUUUAUAAAAUAUUUUUACUAUUAUUUUACAUAAAUUAUAUUAUUAUUGAUAUAAAAUUUUAAUGUAUUCAUCAUUUUCUUUUCCCAAUGAAAUUAUCAUUUAAUCAAUUACGUAACCAUCUUUACUCUUCUUUUUCUUUUUCUUCCAUCUUUCCUUUCUUUCGUUUCCCUUUCCUUCCUAUCUCUCUUUUUCCCUAGCAAAAAGCAUUGACACAUGACAAUCAAUUGGCAGCUUAAUUAAUGAGCUGAGAAUCAAUUAGAAAUUGUCUCCACUUGGGAACAACUUAAUUGUAUGUGUAGAUCACUACAACGUGUAAAUGCAAUAAAAGUGAUGAUAUUAUUUGUUAUUGCAUUAAUUAUAAAUUAGGUAAUAUAAUUCAUUUUAUUAUUUUUUCUUUAAUUAUUUUUAAGUGAAAAAAGAGAGCAAACAGUGCGUUUGGAUAAAAAUAACAAUAUGUUUGAAGUAUUAUAGUUAAAAACAUGUAUUUGUUUUAGAUAAUAAAAUCAAUAAUUCUCCUUCUAUAGAGAUUAAUUAUAUUAUAAUCCAUGUCAUGCUUAAUUACUUGUUCAAUUUUAAUCAAUUAUUGCCUUCCCAAAAACUCUAAUCAAUUAAUUUUUUUUGUUUAAAAUAAUAAUUCUAUAUAUCAACAGUAGAUUUACCCUCUCGCCGUAAGGCUAACAAGGGAGAUUGCUCAGCGCCACUGCUUAUAGGUCACCAAAGACAAUCUUCCCUACUUGAUGUGGGAUUUUUGGAAGCACUCUACCUGCUUUCUUCCUGAAGUGUUAGGCAUGACAAAACAAUGUAGUUAAUUAAAAAAAGAGAGAGAGAGAGAGAGUAGAGCGUUUUUUUAAAGGUAGGCAUGAUGGAGGAGUAGCAGCCAUGGGUUUCAGUCAACAAGCACUAGGUAUCGUGGGCAAUCUAAGAUAGCACGGUGGAGGAGAUCUCUUUACACGGUCUUUGUUGAUUAUAUGGUAAUGUCAUGGGCUAGCAUCAAAUCAGUGUUUGAUCAGUUUGGCGUUGUGGUUGAUGUGUUCGCACCAAGGUCCAUUACAAGGAAAGGUAGGCAUUUUGCUUUUGUGCGAUAUAGGUUUGCCAGAGAAUAACAUAUGGAAAUCCUUCAUGGGGACGGAAUGGUUGUUUCUGGCCAUCGAAUUUUCGUUAAGAAGGCUUUAAAAAGCGGGUUGCCCAGACAUGAUACACCACUAGGUAGAAUAAAAAACCAUUUUCCUUAUCAAAAUUCCUUUAGAGAUGCAGUAGUGAAUGGCCAUCAACCUGGAAAGAAGGAUACUCGAGCACAACCAAGGGUGAUUAGAAUGAAGCUAGGGCUAUGGACAAUGAUAAGGAGAUGAAUGCUCGAGUGCAGUCAAGGAAGGUCAAGGACAAACCUAAGGCUGUGGAUAAAGGUAAGGAAAAAAAUGGUGCUUGUGUCUUCAUACCUAAAUUGAAUGAUGUAUGGUUGAAAGAAAGUGCGUUGGGUUUUGUUUGGGAGGGUAUGUGUGUAGAAAAAAUUGAACAGACUUCGAGUGUUAGUUACCUUCUAAAAUAAAGAUGAAAUGGACGUCCUUCUUGUGGAUUAUAUGAAUUCAUUUCUAGAGUGGUGGAAUAGUUUGGUGCCUUAUGAAGCCAGUAAUGAUAAAUUGGAAUUUUUAUGUUGGGUGAAGGUGGAAGAAAUUUUGAUUCAUUUAUGGCAUGUCAAUCUUUUUAUGGCUUUAAGAGAUUCAUGGGGAAAAUUCGUGAAUAUAGAGCAGGAAACUCUGAACAUGAAUCGAUUCAGUUAUGCAGUGAUUUUGGUAAAGGGUAAUAGCACACGGCAGAUUCCAAUGUAUCGUAGAAUUAAAGUUGGGAAGGAUAUAAUCAUGUUGAGAGCCACAAUUUUGAGUGUUGUGACUGUUCUGCCAAAUGACAACCAGCUACUAGCCACCAGUGUUCAGAGGGAAGAGGUUGUACGUUUGGCCAGGCCUUGUUUAGUAACGUAUAUAUCCAAGGUGGCAAAUUUGAAUUUUGAAUUAAAUGAACAAUUAGGUAAGGAGAGUUUGUAGACAGUUAACCACUUAAAAAAUUUAAAUUAAGAGAAGGUUGAAUUGAAUUCAAAUUUUAUCCGGGUGGAAAAAAUACUUUCUAGAAUUUUAAAGGAUUUGAAUCAGAUGGUGAUUGCAGAAUGGAAUCAAACAAUGCUAAUAAGUUAGACAAAGGAAAGAUGUUGGAGUUGUCUUGUCCUAAAAUUGCUAAGAGAGAAGAUACAGAUUUGCAUUGUGCUGGGUGUACAUCUAUCUCACUUAACAAGGCAAAAAAAAAAAAAACCAUAGCUCAUGAUGAGGUUAAGUGGUGCGGUUUGGAUACUACAAAGAGUCCAAGUACUAAUGGGAAUCAGAAUAAUGGUGAGAAAAAAUAUAAAGGUGGGAACUAUAUUUAUGAUGAUGAUAAUGACAUAAAUCUGUUGUUAAUAUGUUCCCAAAUAGAUAGAAUUUAAAUGGUGAAACGGAUAGGAUUCACAAUUGAUUUUGGAAGUCCUAUUGCAAUAAAAUGCUUAGAACUGAGGGAAUUGAACUCUCCAUUAACGUUAUCCUCAAUUGUAGUAGAUAAUAAUUCUUUAAGGUCAUUAAAAGAGGACUUUAGCCUUAUAGUUCAUACACCAAGGGAUAGGCUUAAUGUUAAUUGCUCUCAAGAGGUCAUGGACGUUUCUCAUUUUAUAAAUAAAGAUUGGAGCAGUCGGGUGUUUGACAUAAGAGAAAGAGAUGCAAAAGUAGAAAUGAGGGAGGAUAUUGAAAAGGUCCAAUUGAGUAAAAAGGUAAGGGUUGACUAAAAGGAAGCAAGAAUUCUGAGAAUAAACCUAAAUUUUGGAUGGUGGAAAGAUAUUACACAGCCACUCAAGAUUGAGGGAGGUUACGAGCAGUAUGUUUGUAAAACCCGACCCUAUAAAUACAUGUCAUGACAUACAUGCAUUGAGUAGCAUGUUAUUAUGUUAGGAAAGCACCUAAAAAAAGACAAAACUCGAUAUCAUACCUAACGGUACACUUGAGUUGAUUUAACCUCGAACUAGUUUAAAUAGGAAUUGUAUGAUGAAAUUUAAUAUUUUAUAGUCCAGGAAUGACUAAAAAUGAUUGUUCGGAGUUCGAGGGUUCAUUUGGGGUAAAAUUAGAAAUUUUGAUGUUCAAAGGCAAAAUCGUCAUUUUGCCACCUAAGAUAAUAAUUUGAUCAUGGAGUGAAAUUUUUAAUCAAGAUUAACUAUUUGGAGUAUAAUUUAAUGAUAGGAAGUGAAAAAGUUUAAUUCUGGUAUUUUUGAAGUGUAGGGGCAAAAUCGUAAUUUUACCACCUGCGGACAAAAUUUGAGAUUUUGAGAGAAUUUAGAUCAAAUUUGACAAAUUGGAGAAUGGUAUGAGUAUAAGGGAUGAAAAAUAUGUCUUUGGGCAAUUUUUCAAUUUUUUGGGCAAAAAUGUAAUUUUUCACUUUUACAUGAGCAAAAGUGUAAAUUUCAAAAAUUACUCCACUGAGACUUUGGAUAAGUCUGAGAAUUUUAUCUAAGCUAUGGAUAUGUGGGACAAGUGUAUGGUGAAAAUUUGGAAACAAAUGGAUGAAAUUUUAAAAAUGGGCCAAUGGGAAAGUGACACGUGGCAUUUUUAAAAUGAAAUAAUAUUAUUUUAAUGAAAAGUCAGCCCAUUUAAACCCCAUUUUAAGUGCUGGCCGGCCAUAAGGAAGAACAAGAGAGGAAAUAGAGAGGAAAGGAAGAAAAAAAGAAAAACCAAAGAGAAACAAGAAAAUUCAAAGGGAAAUUCGCGGUUUUCGACCGUUUACGCGUCUAACGGUAAGAUUUUUCGAUUUUAGCUUGAUUUCUACCUUUCCUAUGCCUUUAUUUCCAUUUAGCAUGCUUGAGGAGAGAGAUCAAAAAGUGAUAUCAAGGGCUGGACGAAAUUCUAGGGGAGAGAAAUUGAAAUUUUUAGGUUUUGAUUUUUAGUUAAAUUGAUAGUUUUAGUUAGUUAAAUGUGUUUAGAAAUUAAAUUGGGCAAGAAAUCAUUAAAUUUUCACAAUACCCACUCUUGGCUGGAUGCUCAAUGCUGUACAAUGAUGAUGAAUUGAUUUUAUUCUAAGGAAAAUGAAGAGAAAAUGAUGAAAAACGAUUAAACGUGAUAGAAAAACAAAGUAGAAAAUUAACCGAGUUAAUGUCCCAUUUUUGGCCGAAUUUUCCAAGGAAGGGAGUGAGCUGAUUUUGUUGUUUUUAGAAGGUUAUUGGCUGAUAUUUAAUGGUUAGAAAUGUUGGAGAGAGAAUGGGAUGAUUUAGAGCUAAAAUGGAGCGCGUUAGCAAUUUAUCGGGCAAAGUGCCAAAAAUAGGUUAAUACCGCGUUUAAGCCGUUUUAGGCUAUUGCAUUUCAUACCAUGCAUUAGUAUAGGAUUUAAGUUAAUUAUAUAGUGAUUUAGCAUCAAUGUGAUGAAUUGUGUAAAUUUUUGUAAUGUGUCUAGGAGGAGAGCCUUCCGGAAAAGGCAAAGAAGUCGUACCCGACGAGUAGUGAUCGGGGCGCUUAGAAAGCUUUUAGUUUGUACAAACGGUGAGUAAACUUAUUAUUAUUGUAAAUUAUCUAGAGUUUAUUUUUAAAUGCCCUUUAUGUAUUUUAUGAAAUGAAAACGAGAUUAAAACGGGAUUUUUGAUGUUUUAGGAAUAAAUGUGACAAAUAAAAAUAUAUUGUAUUGAUUAUGAAAUUGAGUAAUUGGAGGCUGCAAAUUGACUUGAAAAAUAUAUAUUUUCCUAGGAAUGGCUUAUGAGAAAUGAGUAUAUGUGGCUAUAUUUUGUGAGUGCAUUGGGAAAUUUAUGUAAGUUGUUUUUACUAUGCAGGCUGGAUAAAUAAAUAAAAGCCACGUUAUACUGUCGAAAUUUUAUUAAAAUUGGUGGGUUAGUCACUGCAGUGACGGGUUUCCGUGGACUGCCUAUUAGAGGGGCACGGUAAACCCAGUUAUAUAGUUACUCCGGUUGUAGAGGCGAGGAGGGUAACUCCCGGGGUAGUAUUAGAGCUCACUUCACGUCGAACCCCCACGUGAAUGUGUAACUCGGCCAACGCCAAGGAACGGCUGGUUUUAAAAAUAAAAAUGUGUUUCACGUGUGAAUAUUUUAACACCCUUGGCGGACUCGGUUAGAUGCCUCGGCCAAGGUAUCCCCGAGGAUUAGUUUUGGCUUGAGCCUUGUUUUAAUAAAAGACAUAAGCCUUAACAACUGUUUUGGUAAAUUACAAAUAUUUUAUGGUUUAAGAAAUAAAUUGAAAACAUUAUGAAAUGGGUUGAAAUUUGUUGUUUAAACUUGCCUCCAUUUUACUCGCCUUUAGAUAUUUAUGAUAAUGUCUGUUUACUCAUUGGGAUUGCAAAAUCUCACCCAACUCCUUUCCACCCAUUUCAGGUUCAGUAUAGACUGUAGAUAGCUGAUCUCAUCGAGGACUACCAUUGGAUCUGCAUUUUCCAAACCGUAGGUUCACAGUCCUCUUUACUUUUGUUUAUUCGGGGGCCCUCUUGUUAUUGUAAAUUAAAUUAAAUAUUUUGGCUUACUGUAUUUCAGUAUGUAUAAAUUUAUUUAGCUUUUACGCUAUAAAAAUUAUUCACGUAUAACUCUAUAAAUAUUGUUUUAUAAGAAAAUAGAAUAUUUUCCUUAAUAUUUCUUUUAUUUUCUUAUUAUAUUCAAAUAACCGUAAUUUCGUUUUAAAUGAAGAUUUUAGACUUUUAAACUCAUUUUGAAUAUGAAUUAUGUGUUUUGUACUUAUAUAUUACGUUUUAGCCAGUUUCGAAAUUUUUGAAAAAAAAUGACCAAAAUACCCUUGUGUGGCGAAAAUUUUAUUUUGAUUGUUUUUUAUCUAAAAUAGUGUAUAUUCUCUAAAAACUCGAUAUUUAACAACGAUUGCUCACAGGAAAGGAAAGAAACUGAUAUGUAAGCCUUACGGGGUUCCGGUUGGCAUUCCGGAUAAUGAGUGUCAAUCGGGACGUCGCGGCGAUUGUCAUGGACCUGAGGGAGGUUCCGGGUCAUGACAAUGUUGAAUACAAAAAAUCAGAAUGUAGAUUGUGAUAAUUUACAUGAUGAGUUUAAGGCCACACGGGCUGUUAAAGGGAAACUUGGGAUAGAAUUUAAAAAUUCAAAUGAUGAUGUUGUGGAUACUAUAAUGAAAUUGGAAGAAGAAGAGUGGCAAUUUGGAAGUUCUUAAAUGAACUUUGCUGGUUUGUGCAUAUUGCAUUUUAUAAAUGUUAUACUUACUUAGACUGUUAGAGGGAUAUACAAAGGCGAGGAGAAAUGUGCAGUUAGGAGGGUGAUCAAUAAGGAAACCUCGAAUAUUGUAUUUCUUCGGGAAACAAACUGGAAAAAUUCAAGGAAUAACUUUUUUGAGUCAGUUUGGAGAAAAGACAGGAUUAAAGACUUAGUGUAUUUCUCCAGAGAGAUUGAUGAUGAUUUGGCGAGAGGAUUUCUUUAAGAUGGAGGAGCAUGAUUUGAAUAAAAAUUAUAUCUUGUAUUUCUUCAAAGGGAUUGAUGAUGACACUUGUCAAGCCCAUGAAUUUCACCUAUUAUCAUUUUUAUAUCUUGGAUAAUUAAGGUAUUAUAUGUGGUGGUAAGAGAAUGCUUAAUUGUUAAGUUUUAACCAUGGACCAAUCAAGUGACGACACGUGUCAAGUUUUUAUUAUUUUAUAAUUUCCUUUAUAAACUCAACAUAAACUUUCCCAAUUCACUCUUCAUUGCCGUGGAAGCCAAAGAACAAAGGGAGAAAGAAUAGAAAAACUCUAAGGAGGAAAAAUUCAAGAGAAAUUCAUUGGAUUUUCGAAAAAUGAAGCGAUCGGAGGUAAGAUUUCACGAUUUAGCUUAUGAUCUAUCUUACCCAUGCUUUCUUUUUCAUUUUCUAUGGUUGAAACUCAAGUUUUCAUGAUGGAAGCAUGCUGGCCGAAUCAAGGGGGGAAGGUUUUGAGGAUGGUUUUUGCUAGAUCUUAUAUUAUCUAGGCGUUUUUAGUUGUUUGUGAUAUUCGGUGUGAAAAUCAAGCAAGAAAACAACAUGUUCUGCAUCAAACCCUAAUUGGCUGAAUUCUAUUGGGAAUAUUUUGAAGAUGAAUUUUUUCAUAUUUCAUGUUAUCUAGCUCGUAUUUGAUGAUUCGUGAUGUUGGAUAUCGAAAAAGGUUAUCGAAAAGUAUAGUUCCUUUAGUAAACGACUUGAACGAUAAUGAGAAAAUUAUAGUAAAUGGACUUAGAAUUGAUUUCUAAUGAGGUAUACGGACUUAUUGGAGUACCAAAAGUGCAAUGAAUCUAUUUGGAGUUGAAUUGGAUGUUUUGGCUAAUUAAACAGUGUAUAGUGCGAGUUAGGUCAAAUACCAUUUCAGUCCAACAACAAUUGAACCUACGUAAACACCAUCUUUAAGUGAUUAUUCGAACACUUCUCAUUCAAUUUCAUGCAUUCAUAAAGACCCUGAAAUAGUUUUAUAACAGUUUGGCACAAGUGUAUUGAAUUACUUGUUGUAUGUUAUGUAUAGGUGGUAAGCCCUCUGGUAAGGGUAAGGAUAUAGUAUCCGAGGACCAGGAGUAGGAGUACUCUCGUUAUUGUGAGUAAACAGACGAUCAUCUUAGCUAUCUAAAGUUGUUUUUACUCGUUUUUAUAUUUUAAAGAAUAAUGAGUUUAAAUGGUAAAUUAUUAUGUUUUAAAAUUGAAGUGUUGGUUAAACGAAAUAAGAUUUAUAACUUGUUUUGAAAUUGAAUACUGGUUUUAGAAAUUGAGUAAGUGGAGACUAUAUACUCGUGUUUGAUAUAUGGUUUGAAUUGAUGGCUUAUGACAAUGUGAUGGCAUGAAUGGCUAGAUUUGUGUUUGUGUGGAAUAUAUGAACUGUUUUGUUUUACCUUGAUAGGCUAGGUAAUAUCACAUUAGCCAUGUCAUGCUGCUGAAAUUUUGUUGAUUUGGUGGGGUAAUUGAUUAGCUUACUGCAAUGGGUGGGUUUUCGUGGACCUACCUAUUAGAGGGGCACGGUAAAUCCCGUUAUAUUUUACCUUAGUAUGAAAGGCACGGAAGGUAUCUCCUAAGGUAGUUUAGAGUUCACUUCAUGCCGAACCACCACGUGAGGGUGAAACUCAGCCAACGUCAAGGAACGACUAUGUUUUUAAACGUAAAAACAUGUUUUGUGUAUAUGUUAAUUUAAUAGCCUUGGCGGACUCGGUUGGAUGCCCGGCACAAGGUGUCACUAACUACGAGUUUUGGCACAAGCCAAGUUUUAAGAGAGUCAUAAGCCUUGUUGAUUUUUUUAUGAAAUGUAACUGUUUCAUAUGGGUUGAAAUAAGUUUUAAUGUUAUGAAUCAUAUUAUGAUGAGAUGUUUUAAAUUGUCUCUAUUUACUCGGCUUUAGAUGUUAUAGAUUAACUUUGCUUACUCACUGGGUUUAUAAAAACUCACCCCCUUCUUUUCACCCAUUUCAGGUUCAGAGCAGUCUGUAAACAGUCGAUUUUGUCGAGGGUUUGCUUUUGGAUUUGCACCUUUAGAAAUCGUAGGUCUACAGUCCUGUUUAUUUUUGUUAUUUUGGGGCUCACAUGUCAUUGUAAAAUAUUUUUGUAUGCCCUGGCGCUGUGUGUUAUUAUGUAUAUGAAUUUAUUUUGUUACUACGCUACAGUUAUUGUUUACGUAAAAUUUUAUAAAUAUUGUUUUAUAUGAAAAUGGAAUAUUUUAUCUAAUAUUUUUAUUUAGUUCUAUUAGUUUUAAAAUCACUUUAAAAAGAUGAUUUAGACACCUAAAUUUAUUUUUUUUAUAUGAAAUGUAUAUUUUUCAUUUAUAUAUUAUAUUUUUAGUAGGUUUCAAAAUUUUUGAAUAAAAUGACCAAAAUACCCUUGUGCGGUAGAAAUUACUUUUUGAUUGUCUUUGAUUUGAAAAUAUUCUAUAUUCCUUUAAAACAUGAUAUUUAGUAACUGUUGCUCACAGAGGAGGCAAAAAACUGAUGCUAAAGCCUUGCGAGGUUUCGAUUGACAUUUCGGGUAAAGUUUGUCUAUCAAGACAUCGCGGCUGUUGUCUCGGGCUCGAAGAGAGUAUCGGGUCAUGACAAUUGAGGUGUCCAUGUAUAGUCAUCUUUUUGGUAGGUAACAUGGCAUUCAGUAGUUGUACCUUCACCCAAAGUCACUCCGUUGGUGAUUAAGAGUCUUUUUCCUGUGUAUGCGUACACGUGAUGUAAAUCACUAAGAUUCAUAGUAUAAACAGUAUAUGUAUAUUUUGAUUGAUGAUGCCACUAUGAGUUGACAAUGGAUGAUAUUAUUUUGGAUGAUCUAAAUGUAAGUAUUUGAUUGCCAUAGUAUAUCACUGAAUAUUUUUAUAGUUGAUAAUUACAAAAUGUGACUUUAGGAAUGAUUGUUGAAAUGACGAUCGAGAUUACAUAAAGAGGCUUGCUUGGACUUAGUGGGCUAUGCCCACUAAGCCCAUGCACUGGUCAUGGCCUAAAAAUUGGGCUGUGAUAGGGAACUUCUGCAUCUGGCUUGGGAAAAUGGUACCUAGUUCCAACCUUUGGAUAGAUGAUAAUAACCCCAUAAACAGUAGCCCUUGACCAGUCACUGUGGGCAUGCCACCAUAGGGUCCCUUCUUUCGUGGAAAAUAUAGUUUUUUGCUUAGACAUUCUUCCAGGUUGUAUUAGGCAUUGCGUGAUAUAUUCGGGACCAUCUGACCAUGGAUACCUAGGCUGUUGAACUCCAUGCUUGCAAAGGAAUUAUAAAAACAAGAUGAUUUGCUUUAAAAGGAGAGUAGCAAACCAGAAACUUGAGGGAUUUUUCAACACAAUAAAAACGAAAUUGUUUCUUUGACUUGACAUACUAGUGAAUGGUGAUGUUGUAUUUCCUUUUGUUAUAAAUGUUGACAAUAAUUAUUUCUCCGUACCAAACUUGUAUGGUUGGUCCUAGAAAUUGUCCAUUUACUAUUAAAAUCUUCUUUGAAAUGCAGAGUCUUGUGUAUGAAGCUUCUUUAACUUGCAGAGAUGGAUAUUAAUGUAAAGAAAGCGGCAUCACCGAGCAUAAGAUAUACAAUGUGAGGAUCCCAUGCCAAGAGUACAAAAGGACUAAUAUUAAGCACUUACCAUAAAGUCAUAUUCGUUUGUAGCUAGGGAGAAAUGUUGGUCGUGACAAAGUAGAAACCAAAGUAUUUGGAAAAGAUAGCUUUUCUUGGGUAAUACCAUUUUUUUUUUUUUUGUAAUAGAAUAACUUUGGCAAGAAUCCUUCCACCAUACUUGCAUGGAAUUUCUUAAGAAUUGUAUAUACAACUUAGUGAGGAACAACAUUAAUUAGUGAAAUUGAUAGUCUUUAGUAUCUUUCCAAAAAGUUGGUAUGCUAGAUUGCUCAUGAUAGCUAAGAAGGAUAAAAGAAAAGAAAGGCACCCACAUUUUGUAUACUUUUGAGACCUCGAUUAAGACUAUUUUCAUUUAGCCUUUAACCUUUUAUGUCCUUUCUUGAAACUAGUUGGUAUCAAAGGAACUCAACACGACCCCGCAUCUUAUCAAUUCCAAUAUCUCCUUCUUAUCAAUUGGUUUUGCCAAUUGAAAUCAUGAUAAUGAAGUAUGAUAUUUAUGGAGCAAUCAUGAUAGACCUAAAAUGAAAAUAAAUUAUAAUAUUUAUUUGCCUUUGAUGUAUAAUACUGCCUGUUAAAACACUACAAGUAGGAAACUGUUUAGAGAUUGAAGUACAUCUUUAUGUUUUCACAUCAUCAUACCAACUUAAAUUUCAACUUCAAUUUUUAAUUAUAGCGGUUCCUUUUUAUUGGUAUUAAAGUCACAUUGACCUAAUAAUGUUCUCUCCUAUACCAAAAAAAAAUUUAGCCAUAUUAAUGUCAUUAAACAACUGUGUAAUAUUAAUUAAUUACACAACUAUGUCGUCAAUUUAUUUUCUCUUCUAUAAAAAUUUCAUUUUCUUAUCUUUUUUUUUAAUUUUCAUUUACGGAUAUAGACUAAUUCAUGUAAGCUUAAAACUUAUAAAAUAACUCUAAUUUGACCUAACAAAAUUUAUGAUGCUAAUUUGCAAUACAUGAAAUUAACAGUGUAAUGCUCAACAACCUUGACAAACAAGACUAUACCAAUAAGGGUAACACAUCGAAAGAUGUCUAUUAUGUUAAGCUCCCUAUGUUGCUUUGACCUUAGAGGCAAACAUUGUCCAGUGCUCUAAAAUUUAUAUUUAGACUAAUGUAAAAGGAACUUGUCUCAAAUUUAUUGAUCAUAAUCAACAUCAUUAUGGCCAUUAGGAAAUACUAAAACAUAGAUAUUUAGCUAAAGAAGAGAAUACUUCACCAAGCUAAGAUUUUUGUUUUAUUUCAAUUUGAACCUCAAAAGCUCAACUCUGUUGUCGAUUUAGCAGCUAUGAAACUUUAUUGAUGUAAGAAAAAUACUGCUGAUGGAAAAUUUAAGUUUAAAGCUAUGCCACGACCCUUAUUUGAUUCUAUUAUUAUACUUGAUACUUAUAAUUUUAGCAAUAUUAUUGUGUGUUUUUUAUUGUUCUAUUUAUUAAUUUAUAAGUCAUCAUCCUCAAGAGGCAGGGUUGGAAAUCUUAUUGGUUUGAAUACUAAAUUAAUUGUUAUUUGAAAAACGAAAAAAAACUUGAGAAUAGAAAAUUUAGGCAUAUGUUUAGCUUCCAUUAGAGUAACUUUACAGUAAUUUUAUUGGAAAACUGGUCUGACCUAGCUAACUAAUUUUACUGGCCCUCCUUACAUGAUUUUCCUAAAAAAGAAGCCAUAUGUUUGUCUUCUAAAGCAUAAUUGAGCUCAUGGAUGAAAAUUGUGGUAAGCAUUCCUAAGAAAAGAAUAUGAUUUCAAGGAAAUGGUUUGGCUGAAACUUAGUUUUCAAUAUUUUUUGAAGGAUGUAUAGUUACGGAUCUACUAGUCUAGAAAAGUAUGACUUUCAGGCUAUAAUUUGGUUAGAUACAUGUCUAUGUCAUUAUAGGGUUUCCAUGAAUAGAUAUUGAAUUUUAAACCAAGCAACUAUUGGUAAGGAAAUUUCUUUUAAAAAAUAUAAUGAUGUAUAGAGAUUAUUCAGUAAUAAUUUAAUUUCCAAUCAAUAUGUUUUUGUCAUCCUAACCACUAAGGAAUCUCAUGUGGGGAUUCAUUUUAUUGGGUAGUAGAGGAAUUGAUCCAUCUAAACUAAAGGCAAAAUUAACCCCAGCACUAUUUUGUUGUUUGUUACAUUAAAAAAAAUUUAGAACGUAUGUUUGAGAAAACUCCUUUAGUAGCUCCAAUGAGCUAUUUUUGGAAUUCAAUCAUGUGUUGAUUUAAUUUUGUAAAAUUAUUCUUCUCCUUUUACAUCAUUCUUUUUUGUAACAUAUUCAGUUGGAGAAAUGAAUAUUCUUCUCCUUUUACAUAAUUCAUAUCAUGAAAAAAAGAUUGGUAAUAGUGGGGGUGAAUGAAGCUUGAUUUUGAAAGGCCGUUGAUUGAAAUUUCUUGAUCUUUGUGAUGGAGAAGAUAGGUUUUGGUGAAAAAUGAAGGCAUGGAUAUAUGAGUGCAUAUCUAUGUUGCGAGUGGUGGUUUUGGUACAUGGAUUCCUACUUCAGAAUUUCCAAUGAAAAGGAGUCUUCUGCAAAGGAAGAACUUGCAUAUGUACCUAGGGCUGCCAAUUUUAGAAAACAUGAUGAUUAUAUUGCUCCUAUAAUUUGGUGAUGACACUAUACUUUUUGUGAAAUCAAAAGAGGUAGGUGUUUGCAAUGUGAGGAGAAUUUUACAAUUGUUUGAGUUAAUAUUAAGGUUAAAAAUUAACUUCUCGAAGUUUUGCCUUUACCUGGUGGGAGUUGAGGAGGAGGUUGGGAGAGCCAUGGCUAAUGUUUUUCGGAGCAAUUUGGGUCAUCUACCUUUUUUUGAUCUUGGUAUUCCUCUUGGAGUAAACUCACGAAGCAUGCAUACAUGGGACCCCAUUGUGAAUAAAUUUCAAAGUAGAUUGGAACUUUGGCGAUGAAAGUACUUAUCUUUUGGAGGUAUAGUUACUUUAAUUAAUUAUGUGCUAAACUCAUUACUUUUGUUUAACUUGUCGAUUUUUAAAGCACCUAUUAGUGUCUUGAGCAAGCUAGAACAAAUAAGGAGGAAUUUUCUUUGGGGUGUGUCAGCCAAAAAUGUAAAGGGGUUUAGAUAUCUCAAAUUUGGCUAAUAAAAAUGUGGCACUCUUGGGUAAAUGGUGGUGGAGAUUCAAGAAUAAGGAGAAUCACUACAAAAAAAUCAGCCUUUUCCAACAGAAUUUUCCAUUGAGAAAAGGCUAAAUUUCGUUGAAAAUGCCUAUUUUCAACGAAAUUUGAACGAAAAAUUCUAUUGGAAAUUCUGUCGGUAAAAGCCUCGUGGUUAAUACUUUCCGUUGGAAAUCCGUUGAAAAUUUCCAACAAAAAAUUCUGUUGGAAAUUUUCGUUGAAAAAAUGAGCUCAUUGUAGGGUACCCGAUUGUAUUUCUAUUGGAAACAAUUCCAUUGGAAAAGCAUUUCCAACGGAAUUCCAUUGUAAAUUUCCAAUGGAAUUUUCCGUUGGAAAUGCUUUUCCAACGAAAAUUAUUUUACUAGAUUACCAAUUUCCAAAAAAAUUACCAAAAAUUGCUUUCCCAAAAAAAAAUACAAAUUUCCAUUUCCAUAAUAAAAUAUCCAUUCACAUCGACAUUUAAAUUUCAUAUUAUAUAAAAGAAACAAAUAUUAAAAAUCGAAAUUCAAAGUGAAACUCAUACAAUUCAAAAUUACCCUAACACAUAAUAUCUAAGAAAAGUUCAACACAUAUGAUUAUAAAGCUAAAAUUGUUAUUAAACAGCUAUACUAAAAAGUAUCUCAGGGUAGCAGUGAAACAUUGACAUCAUAUCAUGAAAUGCGAUCUUACUUGUGCAGAUGCUAGCUUGAAGGUCCCACAUUUCUUUGUUUUAAAAGUGCAUAAGUCAUGAUAAUGCUUUCCAUACGUGCCAUAAAUUCACUCAUUCUUUCCGCCAUUGCAUUUUUAAUUUCUUCACGUAUUUCUCCACAUAAUUCAUCACGUAUCUUACUCAAGUUUUUUUAAAGAUUUUGUACUUUCUCUUCCAAUGCAAUUGCGGGACUGGUAGCGUUUGAGGGCAUAGGGCUACAUGCAGACUCAAAUGUUGCCACAUUGCUGUGUGUUCUAGUAAGUAAAGAUGUAGCAGGGACCCGAAUACCAAACCCAUACACGUGAGUGCGUGUAGUCUCAAUCCCUCCUAUUGCUUCAAUCCAAGCAUUUGGAUCAAAUUUUGACUGAGAAGAUGAAUCCUCACCAUACUUCUGCAAUAAUACAGAAUUAUACAUUUCCUACAAAAAAAAGUUAAAUUAGAUUAGUAUUCAACUACAGUCGUCAACUUUAAUUUUAGAAUUAAUCAAUUUGGUACGUACACUCGUAGACUUGGAUAGUAAAUCUAAUUUCCACCGUUGAUUAUAAUAAAAUUUGUUAACAACUACAUUCCAAUAUUCAAAACUAAGUUAAACAAUUUAAAUAUAAUAACAAAAAAUAAUAACAUAUGAAGAUAGUAAUCAAAUUUCCAUAGAAGAAAAAAAAUUUAAAAACAAGAUCGUUAAUAAGUGUAAAUUUUAUAGAACACAAAAAUUGUAAAUUUUUUAAAAUUUUUAUUUAUAAUUGUCAAUGUUUUCUUAUUUUAUUUUAUUUAUAUCUUCUUCAAUUUAAAGCAGCUCUCUAUUAUAAGUGACCAAUUAAUGUCAUUACUUGACCAGUGUUUUCUUAUUUUAUUUGAUUUGAUUUUAUUUGAUUAAUUUGAUAAUUAGUUUAUGGUUUUUAUUCUUUCUUUAUUUUUAAUUAUUAUUUUGUAAAAAAAUGUUAAUUAUAAACGUAACUUAUUUCUUGUUAACCAAGAUAUCUUAUUAGACUUAACAUAUGAUAGUUGCCCCUAUCAUCCAUUAACUUACCUAGUUCUGCUCAAUCCCUUAGCAAAAUGUAAAAUAGAAUUAAGUUUUUAAUUUCGAUUUAUGAUUAUGGUUUGUAAAUAUAUCCAAAUUACUGAUUUGAAUUUUUUUUCUUUUGACUUCGAAGCAUAAAUUAAGGAAAAAUACAAAUUAUAUGAGCUUAGGAUUAUGGUCUAUAAAUAUAUUUAAGUUAAUUAUUUGUAAAUUUUUCCUUUUGUCUUUUUUUCUUUCAGUUAGGGAGCAUAAUUACCACUAUAAAUAUUAGAUAAGCUGAAUAUAGAUAAUUUCAUUAAAUAGAGAAAAUUUUAUGUAAAACAAUUCUAGCACUAAUAAAAAUCUUUCAAUAUUGUUGCUAAACAUUAAGAAAAUGGUAGCAAUCUUGUUGCUAAACAUGAAGAAAAUGGUAGUCAACUUCUUCUAAGAGAUUAAGAUAUGUGAUUUCUUUUGUUUUUUAUCUUUAGAGCUUAUUUCGUAUGAGCACAUACCAAGACAAAUAUUAUACCUAAUUAUUUGUGUAGAAGGUCUGUACAACUAUCUUCAAAUCCAAGGAGGGGUUUUAGGAAAUACUCAAAUUCAUUUCAGGUUGACCAUAUGAAAGUGUGUCGUUAUUUUUUGUUGUAAAUAUUUUUUUGAAAUUAGAUUUUGCUUAUAGUUAUCGACCUAAAAAUUCAUUAAGUAAAUAGGUAAGAUAAUAAUGUAACAAAGAUAAAUAGUGUCACAUGCUAUUAUUUUAGAAUCUUUAAGAGGAAUUAUAGUCAUCAACAGUUUUGAAAUUCAUUCAUAAACAAACUUUCAAUUACAUAGCAUGUAUAUAGGCUCAGCAACAAGAUCCCGUCCAAGCACUCACUGGAAAAAGUGAGCAACGCACGGAGAUCGGCAGCAACAACGGCCUACACUCAGCAAAACCAAAACUCCACGCUCUGCAAAUGGGCUCAGAUCCGGUCCAAGAACUCAUCAAAAAAGUUAGUGUAGACACCUAUUACACAAACAAAUAUAUAUAAUAAAAAUUAAUCAAGAAAUAAAUAAAAUAAUAUAAUAAUAUAAUAAAAAUGAAAAUUAAAUAAAAUUAAUGAAAAAUAAUAAAAUUAAAUAAAAAACUAAGAGGGAACAGAUAAGGACCGAAAAUGAGGGAGAAAUCGAAGCUCUUUGCACCAAUUAAAAACCUGUCGGCAAAGAGGGGAGAAAGAUUCAAGUUUUUUUUUUUUUGUUAGAUCUAAGGAUUGUCGGUGGAGGGAAGAGAUAUUUAGCGUUUUGGGUGACCAAGCUUCAAGCCACCGGUGGCGGGGAAGGUGAGAGAGAAGGAGAAAGCGACUAGCGAAGGAAAAGUUUAGAGUGAAGUGAGAGGGUGGCCGUGGCUAGAGAGAGAAAGGGAAAGAAGAAAAUGAAAGGAGGGAUUGUCUACAGAAGGAAGAGAUAUUUAGGGUUUUGGGUGACCGAGCUUCAAGCCACUAGUGGAAGGGAAGGUGAGAAAAAAGGAGAAAGCAACCGACAGAGGGAAAAGUUUAAAGAGAAGUGAGAGGGUGGUUGCGACUAGAGAGAGAAAAGGAAAGAAGAAAAUGAAGGGAGAGGAGAGAAAGAAAGGUUUUUAUACCUAGGGUUGGUAGCUAUUAAAUGACGUAGUUUUGACAGUUAGAGAAAUUACCGCAUAAGCACCAAACGGUGCGUUUGUGUGAAGAACACUGAGUUUAAGAGACAGGCCUGGGGCGCCCCUCUCAAAUGGAUCAGUUUUCUUGAGUCACUAUUUAAGCCCAAGUCAGGUAAAGGCUUUAUUUUUUUUAUAUAGAUAUGUUGUGGCUUGGGUUGGUCAAUUUUGUUUGUUCUUAAGAUUAUUGUGUAAUUGUAUAGGAUUGAGUUCAAAUUAUUUUAGCAUAAUAUUAUAAAAAAUCUCUACGUAAUGUUUUUAGAGUUAGGAAAUUCAUGCAAACAAAAAAAUAUGUAAAUAAUAAUAGCAAAAAGAUAAUAAAGUUAAAAUAUAUAUUUUUAAAAAAAUGUUUAGUUAUAAAAAGGAUUUGAAUUUAGGACAAUAUUUAAAAUAUAUAUAUAAACCUUGGCAAAUGAAACAUACAUAUGAAACAAAAUAAAUAAAUGUCUAAAUAAAGUAUAGUUGUAGUAAUGGAUUUAGUUCAGUUAAGAAAUAAAUAAUAAAAAAGAAAGAAGGAUAAAAGUAAAAAGAAAGGAAAAGAAGAAAAAGGACAUGGAAGUAAGUAAACGAUUAAUAAAAAUUAAAAAUAAAUAAACAAGUAAAAUAAAAAUAUAUAAAAGUAUGAUAAUAAAAUAAAAGAAAAGUAAAUAUUUGUCAACAAGGGUUAAAAUGAUGACGUAAAAAUAUAUUAAUUAUAAUAAUAAAAUUUAUGUUUUGGGUCAAUAUUAAUAGUUAAGAAAGCAUAGAAAAUUGAGUUUUAAAUAUUAAUCACAAGAAUAAUGUAUAUCGAUGAUGGGAUGUCAAUUCGUAACUCGAGAAGUCGCAAUUCUGAGUGAAUUUUCUUAGGUUAAGGAUUUUGAUUAAGACUCCACCAGUAUGAUGGGAGGGUCUUAAUUCGAAAUUCUAAUGUUCUUAAUUUUAAAUAAAUCAAAAACUAUACAUAUUUAAUCACCAAUUUCCAUUUGAGUUAUAUGGCAGUUCCAAUUCGUUUGAAAUUAAGUUGGGGGGUUUUAAAAUCAGAAUGGAUGGGUAGUAGACUUGGUUAAAGUUUAACACAUUUUUCAUUAGGGCAAAGGUUCAAGUCACCCUAGCAACAAAAAUUUAAAUAUUUUGAAUUUUAUCAAUAAAUUAAUGUUUAAUAAUUACUCAAUAUNUUAUAAAGUUAUAUAAAGUUGUAUGUAAACAUAUAUGUAUUAACUCAUAUACAUGUAUGUAAACAUAUAAAUUAACUCAUAUACAUAAAGUUGUAUGUAUACAUAUAUGUAUGUAAACAUAUAUAUACAUAUAUAUAUAUUAACUUAUAAAGUUAUAUCAGUUAAAGAAUAUAACUUUUAAUUUAAUAUUAAUACAAUAAGUUUUCUCCUUUUAAUAAUGCAGGUUUACAUCUAUACUCUAAUAUGGCUAUCAUUCUAAUUUGUAUACAUAGAUAUAAUAACUUAAUAUAUUUUUAAUAUAUUAUAUUAAUAAGUUUAUUAUAUAUCUAUCUUCUUAAUUUGUAUAUAUUAACUAAUUAAUCCUAAAACAUACAUAGAGUAUUAGUAUUUUUUUAAAAUUUCUUAUUAGGUCUUAUCAUGUGUUUUUUUUAAUUUAAAUAUUUAUUUUCUUCUUUUUAUCAAUUUUUAAUGUUAUAGAAUCAAUUAAUUUGAAAUUACUAAUUUAUAAUUUAUGAUUCAAUAAAGUUUAAAAAAAGUAAAAAAAUUGGCAAAAGAAAACAUAAUUAAACUUUUAAAUAUUAUAAACUUCACAUAUGAAUAUAUUUGCUUUUAAUAAUAUCAAUUUUUUAUAAAAGAUUAACAAAAUUUUAUUUAAAAAAUUAAAUAUUUUAAUAAAAAAUAAAAAUUAUUAUUACCAAUGAAAUUUUCCAAUGGAAUAUUCCGUUGGAAAAUUUCCGUUGGCAAUAACUUUUUCCAACGGAAUUUCUAUUGGAAACUUCAACCGGGUUUUAAAUAUUUUUACUCCUAGAACUUUCUGACGGAUUUUCAACAGAAAAUUUUCUGUUGGAAAUUUUGAACAGAAAAUUUUCCAUUGGAAAUUUCCAACGGAAAUUCCGUCGGACAUGGUGGUCUCUUUUUUUUUUUGCUCCCUUAAAAUUUUUCCAACGGAUUUCCAUCAGAAAAUUUUUCAUUGGAAAUUCCGUUAGAAAUGGUGGUCUCCUUUUUUUUGCUCACCAAAAAUAGUUCCAAUAGAAAGUUUUCCGUUAGAAAAAUUUUUGUCUCCUGUUUUUUUUGCUCACCAAAAAUUCCGUUGGAAAAAAUUGAUCAAAAAGUUUUUAAAUUUCCGUUAAAAUUCCGUUAGAAAAAACAAAUUUUUUUGUGGUGAAUGCACUUUGGAGGAGGCUUCUAGUAGUAAGUGUAGAAAGAGAAAAAUUAUUAUCCAAUUACAAGGCCCCACAUGGACUUGAUAACAUCCUUAAAGAUAACCAUAUAAUUAAUUAUAAAAUAAUUAAUUUAUUUGUUAGAUUAUUUCAAAGGCACAUAGUUGGACUAAUUAAAAUUCACCUUUGUGUCAUAUAUAUUAAUCUCUUGAGAUAAUUUAAAAAUAAUAUUUACAUUGGACCAGUUGAAAUUUAAUUAUUGGUUAUCUAAUUUUUCUCUUAACAAAUUAAGAUAAUUUAGAGAUAAUAUUCAUAUUUUUUACCAAUUAGUCAUCUAAUUUAUCUUUAAAACCAUUAUGAUAAUUUGGAGAUAAAACAAUUUUGAUCAUUUAAUUUAUCUCUAAAUAAAGUAAGAUAAUUUAGAAAUAAAACUUAAAUUCGAACAAUCAAAAUUCAAUGACUCAAAGUUCAGCCAAUCAAAAGGCCAUUUAUGAGUCAUCAUUAUUUAUCUCUAAUUAAAUAAAAAUAAUUUACAGAUAAUUUAAAGAAACUAAAUCCUUAUGAAAAUCUCUCAUUUAGCGCUAUAAAUAUAAUGCUCCUCCAAGCCAUUUGAGGAUCAUGUGGAGAUUGAGAAAAGAAGAAGAUUUCUGAAGACGAAGUUCUCAAGUCUAGUUCGUGUUCAAGAUUAAGUCACCUAGACCCUUGAAAUGAAGUUCUUAAGUCUAGUUUGUGAUCAAGAUCAAGUCGUCCAAACUCUUGAAAGUGAAGUUCUGAAGUCUAGAUCGUGCUCAAGAACAAGUUCGAGUUCAUGACUCUCGAAGACAAAGUGAAGAAAUUAAUUAAACGAAAUCUAGGGACUGCAGCUUGCAUCAAAUCUUUGUAAUUUGUCUCAUAAUUUUCAAGUCCAAAUAUUCAAUGCAAAAUUUGUGUUUACACUAAGUAUGGAGAAAAUAGGCUAAAAUGGUUACCAUCUACGAUAUACAAGUACAAAUUAUGACCUCAAUUUGUAGGAAUAUUUCCAAUUUACUGAGGAGUAAUGGGAGGGGUAGGCUUGUUGGUUUUGAUAAUUAUGGGUAGGUGAUUGGGGGUAAAGUGAAUGUUUCCUUUUGGCUUGAUUAGUGAUUGUUAGACUUAUCGUUAUGGUGUAUGAUAAGGAUAUGAAGGUUGCCAAAGCUUGGAAUGAUGGCAGAUGGAAUAUCCCAUAUCGGCGACAUCUAUUUGUUUGGGAAAAUGCCUUAUCUUGUGAGCUAAAGGCAAAAUUGUAGGGGGUGGUACUUAUGUCUUAUUUGGAGGCUUCAUUUGUUGGGAAAAGUAAUAAGGUGUGAAACCUUAAUUUUUGCUUAAGGUUAGAAUUGUAACUUAACUUGGUGAGUUGGAAACUUGACAUUUUUUAACAUGAUUUAUGAACCAUAAUAACUUAGAAAAUGUAUGCUUUGAUAGCCAAAUAAGUUUACUUGAAAGUUUGGACAAAAGGAUUGAUUUUUAGUCUUAAAAUUGCAUUUUGGAGCUAAGGUAUUGAUACUUGUUCAUGAAGUAUCCAUACAUGGAACUUAGAAAUGCAUCUUGAUGAACAUGUAUUGAUAAUAGCUCAUAAAAUAUCGAUACGUUAGCCAGAAACCAAAAGUACCUAUACUUAUCGAAAAGUAUUGAUACCAAUGUCAGAAAUUUGAGAAAAAGUAAGGGUAUUUCAAACUUUUCCCCCAAUAAAUUAAAGCCCUAAAACCUCAAACUUUUCCCAUUUGACUAAAAACAUUUAUUCUUUAAAAGCCAGCCACCUUUGUUGCUUUUGCUAUCUAUACACUUUUUCAUCCUUGCAAAUCAUUUCAAAGCUCCAAAUUUUAUAUUUGAAGUCAGAUUUUGAUUUUAAGUUCAUUUAAAGAUAAUGUUUUACUAUUUUUAAACGACUAAUCUUUGUUUUUGAUUUCCAUAAAUUUUGGUUUAUUAAAAAUUUGUUUUUCUCUUUAAAAAUUUAUGUUUUGGAUUGUUUUGGUACACACAAGCUCACCAAAGUAAAGUUACUAUAGACUUUAGUUAUUUGAAUUUUAAUCUCUUAGUUAGAAUUAGAUUUAGGUGUUGAUUUUAGGUUAAGAUUAAGUUAAAAGUAUGUAGAAGGAUAAAUGGUCAUUAUUAAGGAUAGAAUUAGAAAACAAGGUAUUAGCAAUGGAAAUUUGAAUGUUAAGUGCUAUUGAAGUAGUGGGCAUUUUUAGAGAAGUCGACCUUUCGAUGAAAGUUGCUAAGAGGAAAGUCACGUUUCAAUGAGGUGGGUAGAUAUGACAUUUUUAAUUAUUUUGAUAUAAUUAAGCAUGCCUAUUUUAAUGAAACAUGAGCACAUAAGUUCUAUAAGGUUGUGUUGUGAACUAUGGUUUUCUAAGUAUGUUUUGAUGAAAGCUAUAUAAGUUAUGUAGAUAUGUCUAUUAUGAAUUUAGUUUUGUGCAUGGGGAAUAAGAACCUUAAAUGUGUUGAUACCUCAAAACCAUGAUUAUUUUCUAUGGAUUGAUUGAUUAUGUUACUUCAACAUUUUAAAUGAAAAAUGAAUUUUCUUUGAAUGGACCAUAGCAUUGGGUCAUUUUGUCUUUGAGAUAUUUGUUUAUGUUAAUGAAAAUGGGUUAAUCUUGUGAGGACUCCUUUGAUUUUGUUAGUGAAUGGAUUCACUCAUUUGUUUUCGAAAUGAACUUUGGUUAGUCUUGAAACUUGGAAAAACAUUUUAGUGGAGCCUAUUAUGUUAAGACAUGUAGCUAGUGAUAGUAGAUAUUAGCCAUUGUGCACAAGGCUUUGUAUCUUUUACAAUUGGUGACUAUAUUUACCAAACCACCCUAGUGCUAAGGCAUGACUUUGUCUUGAUAGUUGAUGCAAUCUUACCUUCUUUGUUAUUCAGUUGAUCCCUAUAUGCCUGAGACUCACUUUGUUAUUAAUUCUUCUUAUUGGUGCUCCUCAACUCAAUUUAAUUUGAUUUGAUGUGUCAAUUUUGGUGACUUAAACAGAAUGAUUAUUGGACUUGUUUGAGAACAUAGAACUAUAGUUUAUGUGGAAAAUUUGAUUUUGUGAAAAAGGUCUCAAGUCUUCAAGUUAAAGUAUUGAUAAUUUCUCUUUGGAAUUCUCAGAAUUGCAUUCUAUUUGAAAAAUAUCAUUACUUUGAGCAAAAGUAUUGAUACCAUGAGUCCACGAGGUCUCAAGAGACAUUCUGUUUGAAAUUUAUCAAUCCACUUGAGCAAUGUAUCGAUACUUAAAGCUUAUUUCAAAAUUUCAAAAUUUUUAAAAGUAUUUUAAAAAUUCAAAUGAUUUGUUUUUAACUAUUAAGUUUUAUAAACACUUGAUUUUAUUGAAAAUACUUUGAAACAGUAGAGUUACAUUUUUUGAAGUGAAUUUUGGAAAUAUUGGAAAACUUGUUUAAUUGUAAUGAACUUCGAAACAUGUUUUAAGAUUUAAAAAAAAUGAUUUUGUUUUGAAUUAUUAAACUUUAUAAUUUGUGUUUUCCUUUGAACUACUUUGAAAAGAAUGAAUAUGUUUGGAAAGUGAAAUUUUGGAAAUAAUUGGAAAUUUGAUUUACACCUAUGGAGUGAACUUUGGAAACAUUUGGAAAUGUGAUAAUGCUUGCAAAGUGGACUUUGAUAAUAUUUUUGGAAAUUGUUAAAUUUCAUUAAUUUGAAGGUGUAUUUGUCAAACAUUAUUCCGAUUAAGCUUGCUCCCCUUCCUAGUAUCUGUUCAUAUAGUUAUUUAUAACUCACACAUGAAAGAUGUAUUGGUUUUUUCAGAUUAAUAGAUUGUUUGGCUUGCUGUCCUUUGGGAAGAGUUGUUAUUUCUACUACAGUUGGUUUGGGUAGGUGUUCGAUAAGGCAUCCAGUAGGCCUUAACCCCUUUGUUUUGAUUUAUACUUUGUUGGUUUGGUCAUGUUUUAUUUGUUAUGCAUUUUGAACUCUGUUUAAUUUUUGUAACAAGUGUCAUACUCUAGAUUUGCCAUAAGGUGGCUUUUACUUUGAUAUUUAAGAAAUGUUUUGCUUCCACACUUUGAGCAUGGGAUCUUACACGUUGAUAUAUUUUGACUUUUGAUAUACACAUGUGUUUGUGUUUUUGUACAUGUAUUAUACAUGAUUUCAUGAUGAUGUGUCCCAUAAUGUAAUUUGAGUAACUGGAUUUAUUUGUUUAAGGCUUGCUUAGAUUAAGUGGGACCUUUCCAUUAUACCCUUGUACUAGUCAUAGCUUUUAGGUUUGGAUCGUGACAAAGUUAGUAUUAAAGUUCUAGUUUUGUCUAAGUCUUGGGUAUUUUGUUUUGAGUCAUCAAAGUUGUUGGGUUUCCACGUCAUAUCUUGUUUUUGGUUUGUGAACUAUAAUACAACCCACAAAUGAGAGGCUACAUGGAUUUUUUUUGUUUUUAUUAAAACCUACCUUUUGUUCUUUUGUAUUGAGUUUAGUGUUCACUCUUAACUAGGUAAGGAUGCCACUUAGGACUUGAGCUAUAGUUAAGGGUACACCAAAGCAUGAUGCUCCCCUUGAUUCGUAUAUAAAGGUACAAACUUCCACUGAUAGAGGGAAUGGUAGAAGAGGUAAGACCCUUAAAUUUGCUGAGGAAGAGACACCCAUAGUUGGACCCAUUGAUGCUCAUUCUCAAGAGGUGAGAGAUGAGAUACCUAUUGGGGAAACUCUAGGAGUUUGAGUGUUUGGUGCAAACCUUGGGAUGACAGUGGUAGAGUAUGAUGUCAAGUUCACUCUGUUGGCUUGAUAUGCACCAUAAAUUGUUUCCACAAAAGAGAUUAAGAUUAAGAGGUUUAUGGAUGGCUUAGUGGGGCCUUUGUUUACAGGAAUGGCAUCUCAAGACUUUGAUUUCUAUGCCUCAACCAUGGAUUGUGCUUAAAGGAUAAAGAUGAGGAUUGUUGAGACUCGAAUAGCUAAAAAAGGGUCCAAAAGGGCCAAAACUGAGCAUCAAAUAAAUUUUAGAGGUAGUAGAGGAUCUUUUUUUACAUUACAAGUUAACUAAAAGACACUCAAUCUUCCAUUAGGGGAAUAGUUCUGAGGGUAAUGGUGCUAGACAAGAUAGGCAUGAUGGUAGACCACCCAAAUAGCAAACUUGAGGGCAUGACCUUCAAUUUACCCAUGAUGGGCUACUUAUAAUAAGAGGCACCAAGGACAAUGUUGUAAAGAGAUCCUUUCUUGUUUCACCCUUUUUUGUUUCACAUGUGGUUUACUUGGACACAUCAUUAGGAACAUUCUUGAGGGCCAAUAGUCACAAGGAUCUACCUAACUAGUUAUACCACUUACUCGUAUUGCUACACAACCUAUCAGAGAGGUUGAAGGGUCUAAGGGCAAAGGUGCCACAAAUGCUUGUCCAGGUAGAGCAUUAAGGUCUAAAACUCAAAGUACAAUUGGUCAAGGACAAGCCAAAGUUUAUGGAUUGACCCCACAAGAUGCAAAGCAUCCAAUACAAUUGUCUUAGGUAUUUUACUUAUCUAUUCGAUUAAUGCAUGUGUGUUAUAUGAUUCUGGUGCUACACAUUCAUUUCUUUCCUUAUACUUUGCAUCCAAGUUAGGCAUAGAGUGCUCCAAGAGGGAGGAAGGUCUAGUGGUAACCAUACCCCCGAGAUAGGUAUUUUGUGGUAGAACAUGAUUAUAAAGCUUGUGUAGUCUGAAUUAGGGAGAAUGACACCUAAGAAAAUUUAGUGCUGUUGGAUACGCUCAAUUUUGAGGUGAUACUUGGGAUGGAUUGGUUAUCUGCUAACUAUGUUAGUGUGGACUGUCACCACAAAAGGGUGAAGGUUGAAUACCCUGGAGAGAUAUCAUUCUAUAUUCAUAGAGAUUGCAACGUUGGCUCGAGUAGUAUGGUAUCAACCAUGAUUACUAGCAGAUUCAUGAGACAUGGAUGCCAAGGAAUUUUGGAAAUAGUCUUAGAUACCCAAGUGAAUAUGGGUAAUGUGGCAAAUGUGCCAGUUGUGGGAGAUUUUUAUGAUGUGUUUUCGGAGGAGUUACUCAGAUUGCCUUUAGAAAAAGGAGAUAAAGUUUUGUAUAGACUUGGUGUAAGACACUAAUUUGAUAUCUAUACUGCCUUACCGAAUGGCACUUACCAAGCUCAAGGAGCUCAAGGAUCAACUAAAGGAUUUACUAAACAAGGGUUUCCUAUGCCCUCAUAUAUCACCAUGAGGUGUACUAGUAUUGUUUGAGAAGAAAAAUGAUGGUUCAAUAAGACUUUGUAUCGACUACAAGCAAUUGAACAAAGUGACCAUAAAGAACUUUUAUUCUCUCCCAUAUAUUAAUGAUUUGUUUGAUCAAUUACUAAGGGUAAAGUGUUUCUUAGAGAUUAACUUAUGAUUAUGUUACCAUCAAUUGAGGAUUAGAGAUGGGGACAUACCGAAGAGUGUUUUCGGCACGAGGUAUGGUCAUUGUUAGUUUUUGGUUUUGUCAAUUGGUUUGACUAAUGCCCCUAUAGCUUUUAUGGAUAUGAUGAACAAGGUGUUCAAAUCCUAGUUGGAUAUGUUUGUAGUUGUGUUCAUUGAUGAUAUUUUGGUAUAAUCAAGAAGUUGAGAAGAACACGAGUAACAUUUAAAGAUUGUACUACAGACUUUAAGUGAGCAUUAGUCGUAUGCCAAGUUCUCCAAAUGUGAGUUUUUGUCACAACCUAAACUCGGGGGUUUGUGACCAGUGCACGAGCCCAAUAGGCAAAGCCCAUGAGACCCAAGUAAGCUUAAGAAUUCAAAAUCAUAAAACACGUAGCCAAGGGAGUUCAUAGCCAAAUAUUUUGAACAUAAAAUUUAAGUUCAAAUAUAAAAUAUUAUCCCUGGCACAAAAAUACAUACAAAUAUCCAAAGGCCAUACAUUAACCAUUCAAGGCGGGUUCAUACAUAACAACCUUUCUACAAGUUCAUAUGGCACAACGUGUCUACACACACAACAACUAAGUGUAAAGCAGAAACUUGUGAGUGACAUAGCGAUGGAAACCUAUCGGAUGUCAAAAUCGAUUCGUCACUGGACUACCUUUACCACAUAGAUCUGCUGUCUAUUUAUUUGCACAUGGUACAUAUAGGUGAGUACUCUAAUACUUAGUGAGUGACGCCGGUAACAAGAUCAUAUAUAUAUCACAUAAUAAAUAUUGUGCUAUCAGUGCAUACACAUGAUUUAUUAGAUAUCUCUAAAUAUAAGGCAUAUCAAUAUCCCUAAGUCCCCAAUAUGAGGGCAUAUCAUCAUCCCCAACAUCUUCAAAGAUCACUACACACAUAACUAGACUUAUCCAUGAAGCCAAUCAAAAUCAUUUAAAUCAUUCUCCACGGCACACUCUAGUCACCGGAGUAUUAUAUCAAUUCAUAUCAUGUUUAUCUAAGCCUCUCUAAGGCUAUCUCGCAUUGUAUACAAAUCAAAUCAAAUCAACAAGUGAUGUUCCCUUAGACAAAGUCAAAUCACGCUCGGUUGCCAACUGGCAGAGAAACGAAUCACGCACAGGGCAAAGCCGCUGGCAAAGAACAAAUCGUCAACUAGAGUAAUCUCCUAACAGUUGGCAUCAUUCGGAGUAUUCUCAAAUGGGUGGCCUCAAAGCACUAUAAAAGGGAAUCAUAGGGGGGACUAAUACCACUGUCCCUACUUACCACCAUCCUUGUAGGCAUACACAUGUCAUAAAGUAACAGAAUCCACUCAAUCCCGAGUCAAAUCAACAUCCAUAAUUCAUCCCUUAGAUGGAACACAAAUCCACAAUGAGGCCAUCAUGCCUUUAUCUUUCCAUAUGUCCAUAACAUAUCACAAAUUACAUUUAUCGAUCUUCAAUCGUCUAUAAGCUCGUUAGAGUUCUAAAUACCUUAAUGAUUCAUAAAUCAUAAUGUUAUAUCAUUUAAAUGGCCUCCUUAGCUUCACACACGUAAACAAUUCGCAUCAAAUAUCAUAAUACAUGGCCUCAUAUAUUCAAGCAGUUAGGCCUUAACAAUCAUAGCUCAUUGACCACAAAUGCAUCAACAAUCUCAUUUUAAAUUAGUCAUGGCCUAAUAAGCCUAUAUACAUAAGCAAUGUCUCAUCAAAUCAUGCAUCAAUAUUUCAUCGACAAUCGGGCAAUCUAUUCCCACAUCGUGGUAUAACCAUCACACGAAGUUAGUCAUAGCAUAUCCAAAAGCCAUUAAGAUCAUACAUCACCUAGAUGUCUAACAUCUCAUGCUUCCCAAUAGCAAUCACAAACAAACAUAUAUAUUAACAUAUAUUAAUAACAUACUAGCCUAGGCAUACUCAUCUAUGCAUGAACAUAACAAUUCAAUUUACCAUGGCCGUGCAUAUCAUCAUGCAUAAUGUAUUUUAUGCAUUUUCAAAGAUAAACCUCACUCACAACGACAAAUUGGAGUGUUCCACAACCAAGCUUUUAUCCUUAGCCUCCAACCAUAUUUUAGCUCAAAAUGUGCCCAAAUUGCUCAGUCUUUCGUUAAGUGCAUCAAAACAUCCCAAAACUAAUUAAAUCCUAGCUUUCCAAAAAUGCUAACUUUUCUAAACAUAACUAAAUCCUUAGCAAUUCAACAUAUAAGCUCAAAUCCUUUAACAAUGAGCUAAAACCAUACCUUAAAAGCUAGAUUGCACGAAUCUUAGCUCCAAAUUCCAACCAAAUCGAGGGAGAUCUAUCUACACAGGAGAAAUUAGAUUUCUUAAAAUUUAAUCGAUUAAAUUGAAAAAUAAUCAGUAAAAACAUUUAAUCUUACCUCGGAUUAGCUCUAAACCAUUCCAAAAAUCCAUUUGGGGCUUAGGGUUUUAAGAGGUUAGAGAGAGAAAACAAAAUCAUCAAAACUAAGUCUUUUUUCUUUCUUUCUUUUUCUUGGAAAUGAAAAUCCUUACCUUUGGCAUAUAGAAUCCAAGAUUUUUUGUUGGAGUUUGAAGGUUUUGAAGGGUGUGAAAUUUGAGAGAAAAUGGGUGGAAAAACAAGGAAUAAAGAGAAAAAUGAAGAAUUUUCGAUUUUGAGGCUUUUAAGCCUAUUUUAAGCUGAUUAGGCAGCUUAAGAUCGACUAUGGAGGAUCUGUAGUUGAUCUUGGACCAGAAAGCUUGUGUUUCACCCUUUUUCCCCUUCAUAGGAUCGACUAUGGAGGGUCUAUAGUCGAUCUUGGACUAGAAUGUUUGCAUUUCUUCCUUUUUUCCUUCCUAGUAUCGACUAUAAAUGGCCUACAGUCAAUCCUGGACUAGAAUGCAUGACUUCCCCUUCUUUUUACUUCACGAGAUUGACCCUCUAUGUACUAAAAUCGACUUCUUAUGUCUAAAUUGGUAAAAAUUAUCUUUUUUGAAGCAUAAACUCAUUCUAAAUGUCUUCCACAACCUCAAACCAUUCAUAUAUGACUCAAAUUUUUACCCAUAUACAUAAACAUAAGAUCAAAACUUCAAUCUAAGCAUCAAACCUUUGAAUUCCUCAAAUAUGUUCAUAAAAUUGUUGCCUAAGUAUCAUAAGGAAUAAUUUCCAAAUCUCUAACUCUUCACAUACAACAACCAAAAAGUACUUGAAAACAAAGAAAAAGAAAGUUUGAAUUAAGAUUAAGAUUUUUUGGUAUUAAUAUUAACAAAAAUUAUGAAAAUAAUUCCCUAGCAAUGGUGCCAAAAACUUAUUGUUGGAUUUACCAUGCAAGUGCAUGCAUCGUUAACAAGUAAUAUAAUAAAAAUUACAGUUCACUCCCAUAGAGAAUUGCCCAAAUCCAUUUGAUAAGUACUAAAAUUAAAAUAACUUAAUCUUAUUCAAACAACUGAAUUUUAACACUACUAAAAAUUAGAUAAACUAAAACUAGAACUGAAAGCAAAAAUAACAAUCUAACUAAUUAAUCAACCAACCAAAAGUCUAAAACCACAAUAUACCCUCAAUAUUUCAUCUGAGUCUCUUCUAUUCCUUCUUUACUUACUAGAUAAGCCUAAGCUAUUAACCUAGAGUUCUAAUUUAUUUAUAAGUCUCUUCCGAUGUUCUUAUAAAAAUAUCUUCCUUAAGCAAUUUACUGUAUUCCUAUGAAAAUUGAAAUCAAGGAAGACUCAUUAAACUCAGACUCUAAUUAUGGCUACAGAUGACAUGUAAGUGUAUUCCUACCCUACAUGCAAAUCAAAUUAAUCAUUUUAUGCAAUUGAUAUUGAACAUAUGCUAUUUCAUCUGUGACUUACUCUAAACUUUCUUUUCUAAUUCUGUUUAGGUUUCCAAAUCAAUCUAAUUGAUGGCCAAUCAAUCAGACACAUUAAGAACAAGAUUAAAAUAAACAACUCAAACACUAUCAAUCAUUAACAAGAAAGAAUAUUAAAAAUUCAAACUACACAUUGGGCUUAAUUACGAUUCUAGAUCAAAAAAUUAUUUCAACAUAAUUCCUAAAGACAUCAUCAAAAAAAGAAAUUUAACCAUCAAAACUAAACAAGAAAGUAUAGAGAUAACAAGAAAACAAAGAAUUCCAAUAUUUAUCAAGUCUUUGAUCUGUAAUUUUCCUUGCUUUCCUUGCUUUCUUGUUAACUUCAAUGCCUCUUUUUCUUCAAAAAAAACCUUGCUUAAUACUUACUUAAAUCUUGCUAUGGAAGGGUCGUUUACAUAGGCUUCAAAACUGAAUGAGAAUAGAAGUCAAAAUCAACUCAAAUUCUAGUCUCUAUGUUGGGGGCCCGACCAUGGAGCUAGGUGGCCUAGCCACGAAGCUUGACGUUUAUUUUUUAAAUUUCCUUGUUUAUGGCCAUGGCCAUGGGCAGUUGGGGGCCAUGUCCACAAACCUCCUGAAGGUUCAAAGCAUGAUGGUGUAGUCGAGGGGACGCAGCCACUAAGUGGUGAAGCUCGCAGCCACUAAAUGUGCACUUUGAAUUUUUAGGUUCCACUACAAUAAGUUUGAUGCAAUUUUAUCCUACUUGGAGGCUGAAUUAGGAGACAUAGUAAACAUAAAACUUUUAAAUUUGUCUCUUAUGUUUCCAAGGGUCUAAGAAUCACAUCAUUUGGACCUCUAUAGUGGAAGAUAUACUUGAAAUACCAGAACGUGUGCAAUGAAAGUCUGCACCUAGAAUGCACUCUCCUACUUCAAUUAAAAUCCUUUAUCAUAACACACCUACAAAAGCACAAUUUAAUUAAUAACGGCCAUACUUAGAAAAAUCAACAACUAACUUAGCCUAAAAUAAUCUAAAUUCAAUUGACCCAACAUAAUUUACUUAUUUUAAAAUAAAUAGCUAAAACAGCUAAAAAUUUAAAAUAAAACUCAAGAACAUGGCAAAUUGUUAACCAAAAUUAAAACCAAAAAACUCUAUAUCAUAGAGUUACCAAGUACUAGCCUUAAAGUCUAACUAAUAAUCAAGUGCAAAAUUCUAUCCAUCAUGGACAGCCUAGUAAUUGACUCAAGAGCACCAAUAUUGUUCACAUAAAGCUCUCUCUCUAAAUCUUGCACUACUAGAUUAUCACUAAUGUAAGUCAAUGCACCAAGUGCACUAUGAAGUCCAAACACAUCCUCAAUCAGCUUAGGAGUUAUGUUGAUUAAUCUACCCAUGAUGUAAGUGGUGAAAGCAUUAUUAUAAGUAUGAAGUGCAUCAUUCUCAUCCCUAUAAUUUACAUUUGCAUUGCUAUAGAAAACUCUAACCAACUUUUCAAACACAGGGAUGUUCAAACUCAAAUAUUCAUGCCAGCCUAAAUUUCUAAAGUUCUCAAUAUAAAGGACACCAAACUCUCUUAAGAUUUUAAGAUCAAUUACCCGGCCAUGGUAGACGGUUCUUGAGGUGAAAAGAUUCUUGUAACAAUCAUAAACAACAGCAUUAAAGAAGUUCAGAGAAUCUAAUCCAAGAUUGACACAAAAAUGGGUAUAAAUACCCAUCCAUCAACCAAGAGUCAACGGAGAGAAUGGAGAGGGAAAAAAAUAGAGAAAGAAAUGCUUUCGAUAGGCAAAAAACUUUACUUUUAGUGGUAAGGGAUUGGUUUUAGAAAAAUCUAAGGGUUUCCAAUCGAUGAAAGGGGAAAGAAGAGAGAAAAGGUGUUGCGCCACUAAAGAGAGAAAAGCUUUAGUAAAAAUGGAGCUAGGGUUUUAUUUUAGGUUUAUAUAGUGAGAGUACUAAACGACACCGUUCAAAUCAAAAUAAAAAAAUAAUAAUCAAUUUGCGCCAUAGCUUGGUUGCUUGGUUAGAUUGUAGUUUUAUGUUGAUGCCAUAGCUUGAUUGGUUGGUUGGACUGUAGUUUGCUUUGAUUGAGGUCAAUUUUAGUCCAAUCUUAGCCUAUGGUCUAUUCGAAAUAGCAAGCUCUAAAAGAGGGUAAACCUAGUUCACAUAAAGAAGGUAUGGGCUUAUUUUCUCUUUUCUUUAUCAUUAUAUUUUGGUUUUUAUUUUUAUUUUUAUUUUUAGUUUGUUUGUUUCUCUUUAUUUAUUAUUUCAUUUUUAUGGUAAUAAUAAAACCAACAAAAAUAUAAAAAUAAAAAAUAAUAAUAAAUAAAUAAACAUUGGAAAUAUUUAGUAAUUUGAAAACUAUAUCAUGAUAUUCACUUGUGAGCUUAACUUUAAAAAAAUUAAUAAAUAUAUAAAGGAUUUAUAUUUGAUACAUUAACAGUGUAUAGAAGCUAUAUAUUGUCAACUCACCAAAUGUUGCCACCUCAUUAACGAGAUAAAAUUAAAAAAUUUUUAGUUAAACGUAAAUAUUAAAAAGUUAUUAAUAAUUAAUUAAAUAAAAACAUAAAAAUCACUUUUUCUCUCUCUUCAACUCCCUCAUAACUUUUUUUAUUGUUUUCUUUUUUAUCUCUCUCUAGCUCAAUCUUCUGCUCUCUUCUUCUUCCAUUAAAAUUAAAAAUUAAAAUAUUUCACUUUUCCUCAAAACCUUUCACCUCAUUUUCUUAUUCUUCCAUAGGCAUUCGAACUUAAAUCUUAUUGAAUUCUUAAGAGAGUGUGUUGCUUAAACCCUAAGAGAGAGAAAAAGUGAAGAAUUUGGUAUGGAGAUUUUCUUUUUGUUGAGAGAAAGAGAGAGAAAAAGGAUUGUUGAACCAAAACGCCUUGUUGCUCAACAAGGAAGUAAUUCUUUUGUUAGUUAGCAUUGAAACCUAAUGGGGUGGGCAAUAUGUCAAUUUGACCACCAAUUGUGAUAAAAAAAUCUUUCCUUAAGUUGUGACUAUGGGGUAGUAUUAGUGUUGGAAAAACUUUGGAAAAAUUUUAAAAAAAUUUUGUCACAACUUGUGUUGGAAUUUUAAUUUGAUAUUAAGUUGAUGUUAGUUAAUUACUUUUACCAUUUUUUUCAUUUACCUUUAGUGGUUAUCACAUUAUAACCCUAAAUCAACUAAAAGUUAAACUCUAAUUUAUUUAUUUAAAAAAAUAAUUAAUUAACACAUUAUAACUCUAAAUCAAUUAUAAAAAUCAUUUAAAAAAAUCACUAAAUUCAACAAGUAAAAAUUAUCUUGAUAUCCCUUUAAGUUGAACAAUCACUACAAUAUUUUUCACCUUUGGUGCAAAAAAAUCCUGCAGCUAUUAGUGAAAAAUGUGCAGCCUUAGGUUAAGGUUGCACAUUUUCUAAGUGCAGCCUUAGCCAAUGUAUGGAAAAGUAUGGCUGCACUUAUUUAUGAGAUUCAACAGCAAAAUUAAAGUGCAGUUGUAUACUAUAUGACUGCAAUCUUAAAUCAUAUGGUAGCAUAUAAAAUGUGCAGCUAAAAGCUAUAAAUUAGAGACACAUAUAACCUUCUUAUAUGCAAUAAGUUUUAUGAUAGAAACAAAAUGCUCACAAACCAUAAAGUGCCUCUAAAAUCAAAUUGCAGCAACUAAUGCCUCAAAAGUCAAAUGUCUCAAAAACCAUUUCCAACUUGGAACAUGGACCCUCAAGGUCUUUACAACGUGUACAAUAUGGGGUAAUCUCUCUUUCUCUCUUUUUCUCUCCAAUUCCUCUUUGUAUAUAUUUGUUUGUCCCUUCUCCAACCUAAUAAAACCAUCUGACAUUGCAGUUCCCAGCCUUCCUUACCUGUAAAGAUUAAUUUGCAAGAUAAUAUUAAUUUGCAAGUAAUUCAUAAUGUAAUAUGAGACAAAGCAUACUCACUGACCAACUAACAAAAUUUAUUUGUGCUCUUUGAUUUGAUUUGAUUUGAUUUGAAAACAAAGUAAAAAAUGGAGAAAAAAAAGACCAUAGAAAACUGCUAAAAUUAUAAAAGAUUCAUUAUUUGUUCUCUUUCAUAUCUAACUCUCUUCUAGCAUGGUACUACACAAGUUUCAAAUGAUGCAUAGUUUAACAUUGGAGAUUGGAAAGCAAAAAAGGUGUCUUAUGUUUUAACAUCUACGAUAAGGCCUCCUAUGAAUCAAAUAUAGCUUGAAUGCAUGCUAUCUCAAUUAUUCUAGAGUAACUAUACUAGAUAUCCUAUAAAUUCAGCUUACACAUAAGAGACCCUAACUCCGAGUUUUAACAUCACAUUGCCAUUAGUUUUAAACUUCUAGAAUUAUUGCUUUUCUAAAAUAAAAAUUAAAAAAAAACCAAAACUCCAUACAUGUAUAAAUUAUGCAACACUUUAAGAAUUUUAAUUAAAUAAUAAUUCAAAAAGCAGCACAAAAUUCUUAAUAUGUCCAGCCAUGAACAAUCAAUUAAUUAACAUAAAAUGACUUAUAUGAUUCAUCAAGAGUAGCUAUAAAACUUGACCCUAUAAACACAUGUCAUGACAUACAUGCACUGAGUAGCAUGUUAUUACGCUAGAAAAGCACCUAAGAAUAGACGAAACCCGAUAUUGUACCUAACGGUACACUUAAAUUGAUUUAACCUCGAACUAGUUCAAAUAGGAAUUGUAGGAUGAAAUUUAAUAUUUUAUAGUCAAGGAAUGACUAAAAAUGAUUGCUCGGAGUUCGAGGGUUCAUUAGGGGUAAAAUUGAAAAUUUUAAUGUUCAGGGGUAAAAGUCGUCAUUUUGCCACCUAAGAUAAUAAUUUGAUCAAGGAGUAAAAUUUUUUACCAAGAUUAACUAUUUGGAGUAUAAUUUAAUGAUAGUGAGUGAAAAAGUUUAAUUCUGGUGAUUUCUGGAGUGUAAGGGCAAAAUCGUAAUUUUACCACCCGCGGACAAAUUUUGAGAUUUUGAGAGAAUUUAGAUCAAAUUUGACAAAUUGGAGAAUGGUAUGAGUAUAAGGGAUGAAAAAUAUGUCUAUGGGUAAUUUUUCAAUUUUUUGGACAAAAAUAUAAUUUUUCACUUUUACAGGGGCAAAAGUGUAAAUUUUAAAAAUUACUCCACCUACACUUUGGAUAAGUCUGAGAAUUUUAUCUAAGCUAUGGAUAUGUGGGAUAAAUGUAUGGUGAAAAUUUGAAAACAAAUGGAUGAAAUUUUAAAAAUGGACCAAUGGGAAAGUGACACAUGACAUUUUUUAAUGAAAUAAUAUUAUUUUAAUAAAAAAUCAGCCCAUUUAAACCUCAUUUUAAGUGCUGGCCGGCCAUAAGGAAGAACAAGAGAGGAAAUAGAGAGGAAAUGAAGGAAAAAAGAAAAACCAAAGAGAAACAAGAAAAUUCAAAGGGAAAUUCACGUUUUUCGCCUGUUUACGCGUUUAACGGUAAGAUUUUUCGAUUUUAACUUGAUUUCUACCUUUCCUAUGCCUUUAUUUCCAUUUAGCAUGCUUGAGGAGAGAGAUCAAAAAGUGAUAUCAAGGGCUGGAUGAAAUUCUAGGGGAGAGAAAUUGAAAUUUUUAGGUUUUGAUUUUUAGUUAAAUUGAUAGUUUUAAUUAGUUAAAUGUAUUUAGAAAUUAAAUUGCGUAAGGAAUCAUUAAAUUUUUACAAUACCCACCCUUGGCUGAAUCUGCAAUGAGGUACAAUGAUGAUGAUCUGAAAUUUAUUCUAAGAGAAAUGAAGAGAAAAUGAUGAAAAAUGAUUAAAUAUGAUGGAAAAAUAAAGUAAAAAAUUUACCGAGUUAAUGUCCCAUUUUUGGUCGAAUUUUCCAAGGAAGGGAGCGAGCUGAUUUUGUUGUUUUUAGAAGAUUAUUGACUGAUAUUUAAUGGUUAGAAAUGUUGAAGAGAGAAUGGGAUGAUUUAGAGCUAAAAUGGAGUGCGUUAGCAAUUUAUCGGGCAAAGUGCCAAAAAUAGAUUAAUACCUCAUUUAAGCUAUUUUAGGCUAUUGCAUUUCAUACCAUGCAUUAGUAUAGAAUUUAAGUUAAUUAUAUAGUGAUUUAGCAUCAAUGUGAUAAAUUGUGUAAAUUUUUGUAAUGUAUCUAGGAAGAGAGCCUUUCGAAAAAGGCAAAAAAAUCGUACCCAACGAGUAGUGAUCGGGACGCUUAAAAAGCUUUUAGUUUAUACAAACGGUGAGUAAACUUAUUAUUAUUGUAAAUUAUCUAGAAUUUAUUUUUAAAUACCCUUUAUAUAUUUUAUGAAAUGAGAACGAGAUUAAAACGAGAUUUUUGAUGUUUUAGGAAUAAAUGUGACAAAUAAAAAUAUAUUGUAUUGAUUAUGAAAUUGAGUAAUUGGAGGCUACAAAUUGACUUGAAAAAUAUAUAUUUUCCUAGGAAUGGCUUAUGAGAAAUGAGUAUAUGUGGCUAUAUUUUGUGAAUGCAUUGGGAAAUUUAUGUAAGUUGUUUUACUAUGCAGGCUGGAUAAAUAAAUAAAAGCCACGUUAUAUUGUCGAAAUUUUAUUAAAAUUGGUGGGUUAGUCACUGCAGUGACGGGUUUUCAUGGACUGCCUAUUAGAGGGGCACGAUAAACCCAGUUAUAUAAUUACUCCGGUUGUAGAGGCGAUGAGGGUAACUCCCGGGAUAGUAUUAGAGCUCACUUCACGUCGAACCCCCACGUGAAUGUGUAACUCGACCAACGCCAAUGAACGACUUGUUUUAAAAAUAAAAAUAUGUUUCACGUGUGAAUAUUUUGACACCCUUGGUGAACUCGGUUAGAUGCCUUGGUCAAGGUAUCCCCAAAGAUUAGUUUUGACUUGAGUCUUGUUUUAAUAAAAGACAUAAGCCUUAACAACUGUUUUGGUAAAUUACAAAUAUUUUAUGGUUUAAAAAAUAAAUUGAAAACAUUAUGAAAUAGGUUGAAAUUUAUUGUUUAAACUUACCUCUAUUUUACUCGCCUUUAGAUAUUUAUAAUAAUGUCUGUUUACUCAUUAAAAUUUUAUAAUCUCACCACCCUCCUUUCCACCCAUUUCAAGUUCAGUAUAGACUGUAGAUAGCUGAUUUCAUCGAGAACUACCAUUGGAUCUACAUUUUUCAAACCGUAGGUUCACAGUUCUCUUUACUUUUGUUUAUUCGGGAGCUCUCUUGUUAUUAUAAAUUAAAUUAAAUAUUUUGACUUACUGUAUUUCAAUAUGUAUAAAUUUAUUUAGCUUUUACGCUAUAAAAAUUAUUCACAUAUAACUCUAUAAAUAUUGUUUUAUAAAAAAAUAAAAUAUUUCCCUUAAUAUUUCUUUUAUUUUCUUAUUAUAUUCAAAUAACUGUAAUUUCGUUUUAAAUAAAGAUUUUAAACUUUUAAACUCAUUUUGAAUAUGAAUUAUGUGUUUUGUAUUUGCAUAUUACGUUUUAACCAGUUUCAAAAUUUUUGAAAAAAAAUAACCAAAAUACCCAUGUGUGGCAAAAAAUUUUUUUGAUUGUUUUUUAUCUAAAAUAGUGUAUAUUCUCUAAAAACUCGAUAUUUAACAACGAUUGCUUACAGAAAAGGAAAAAAACUGAUAUGUAAACCUUGCGGGGUUCCGAUUGACAUUUUGGAUAAUGAGUGUCAAUCGGGACGUCGCGACGAUUGUCAUGAGCCUGAAGAAGGUUCCGGGUCGUGACAGUAGCAUUUGGAAUCAAUUCUUCCAAGUAUCUUGUUAGGCUCAUUUGUUCAAAGUUGUGCUUUUAUUCUUCAAAGAGAAGUUGAGGAGCAUUGACUUCCACCAUUUAAAAAAAAAUAAAAAUGCAAUCAUAAAUCAUAAAUCAUAUGACAAAUUAGCACCUCAAAAUUGUAAAAACUCUUAAAGUGAUUGCAAGUAACUAACCUUACAAAUCUGAUUUACAGAUAUAUUAUCAAAUAUUUGGUGUUUGAUUAUUUGUUCCAUUUCUUGGCAACUAAUCAAUGAUGAUUGAUUAAGCUGUAAAUUGUUAUAAUUAAGUAACUAAACUUGAGAAUUGAAAGAAAAUAAAAAAUAGUUGCAAUAGAAAAUAAAAGCUUCCCUUUUGAUGUCCACUCUUCAAUGACUCCAAGGCCUUGUGAAUGUCCUCCUAAAAUCACAAUCUUUUAUCACAUGGUGAAAAGGCAUCCAUUUGAAUUGUCCCUUUUGACUGCAAAAUCAAUCAAUUUCAAGAUCUUUGAUAAGUAUUUAGAUAUUCCACCACAGUAAUCUUAAUUGUCCACAACAAACAAUCAUGGGAUCAGGACGUUCAAGAUAGUGGAACUUUUUCCAUAAAGUGGUAAAUGAAUUGGCACUAUUUAUAUCAUUCGACAUCAAUAUCCCAGCAUUCAGUAAAUCACCAUAUUUUCAAAUUCAAGUCAUAUGUAUCAAAUAAUUCAACAAGAAAACUUCUACGACUCCUCAAGAAUAGCAUAUUUAGUGUUUGUGCCUUAAAAAUUACAGAGAGAAGACCAGAUGAAAUAAGAAAAAUUUGAGUGUAAUACUCUAAUACUGACUAGAGAAGAAGACAUAUCAUGCUAUUACAUAGUUGCAACAAUGCCUACUUAUAUUCAGCAAGCAUAUAAAAAAGGUUGCAGUCACAACAAUACUCAAAAUGAAGACAAAUUGACAAAUUAACCUAUGGCCACUAAUGUAAGUUCUCCUAAAUAGAUAAAAACAAGUUCUUUUGCGAUGAAGUACAAAGAGGAACUGUAACUGCCGUCUCCAAAGCAAGAAAGCAAAAACAAAACCAAAAAAAAACCCUCUAAUUAUCUCUCUAAAAUAUAAAUUAAUAGCAAUAAGGCAUAUCUUUUUUUGUUUGAAAGAUGAGUUUUUAUUAUAGAUAAGCUGUAAUGCCAUGGGGAGUCUCAAACGUGGAGACUCCUGUUAGCAUAAAGCUAUCUUGAGAAGAGCUUGUUCUGUACAAUUACAAAAGUAGCAGCUACUCAAGGAGCACUUGGCGGCAUCUCAACAUGUAUAAUCUCAAAAAACAAGCAGAGUUCUAAAAAAAACCCCUAAACAAAAGUCUAAUACAAGUAAAACUCAACCAGAGUGAAAAAAGGUGAGUAGCCUGUGUGGCCCAGAUUGACAAACUCCCUAAUCGAACAAAUGAAUCAUUCCAGUCAAAACCCCCGCGAGUCUUCAAAGGUAGGCAAACAGGGUUAAUGCCAAGAAGCCUCCAAGAGCAAUCAUCCCUUCAUUGUUAUAAGGCAUAUCUAUUGUUAUAAGUUGGACAAAACUCAUUCACGAACCAAUCUGGGUUUCAACAGAAAAAGAAAUAAUCCAUCGUAACUCAUGGACUGAAAACACAUACUUAUUCCUUAAGGCAAGGUUUUACAUGACAAAUUCAUGCCUUUGAAAGACAGUUAUCGUAACACUUGAUUGACACAUGACUCAGUAAACAUGCAAUAUAACAGACAAUACAUGGCACUUAUAUCUACAAUAUAACAUACUAGAAAAAGGCAGAGGAAGAGAGAGAGAGAGAGUAAUACACGAGGGCAAUCAUAUCUGCAAGGCCAUCAAUAAAAUUGUAAAGAACACCAACGUCAUACGUUAUGCUUUGAGUUGCUGGGUUGAGCUUUUUAAGUUUCCUUUCAUAUAGUUCACGUAUAACUGCACACGGCAAAUAAUAUAUACUGUUAAAAUUGUCAAAUCUUUUAAAUGAUGGAAGGGAAGAAGAGAAGGGAUUCCAUCUAGUGCAUCAUAUUAAAACCACACUAAUUCAUUUCCUCUUAAUGCAACUCAGAAAUAUAAACAAUUUUGGACAUACAUUCUUGAGAAAAAAAGACAUAUGCACAAUCAAAUCUAAAGAUCAUUCUCAACUCCACAAGCCAACUUCCAAAAGGUAUAGACCAUUGCCUGCAAUAGAAACUAUUUUCAAGAAAACUAAUGCAAUAGGAACUCUAUAAAAUGUAUGAAAUGUAUAUGUAUCCUAUCAUAAAGCUCAAUUUUAAUUGCUUUGUUUUCCACCUCCAAACCCCUAUUCAUAGCUUGACUGAUAAAAUCAUAAUAUGAGCAACAACAAAAACAAAGAUAAUAUAAGCAACAAUAAACAAAAAGCAUACUGUCCAUAGCUUUGACUGAUAGAAUCAUAAUCCACAAACGUUCUAGGUGCUCUAUUUUGCGAAGUUUGAAUCAAAACAAUGGUGUGCCUGUUUGCCUAAAUCAUCACACAAAAUAAAAAAUGAGAUUAAAAAACACACAACUAACCAUAUCAAUCCAAUAAAAAAAAUAUUAUGAUUGAAAUAGGUUCAGUGUCAUUAACAUGCCAGCAAGAAUCAAAUCAAUGAACAAUCAAGUCCUACAAAAGAAAUCUUAAAUCGUGUAAUAAUAAUUAAAAAAAACAGAGAUUUGAGAAUCGAGUGCCCUGUUUUUGUACCAAAAGGGGUAACAUUUGACGAAACCCUAGUUUCUUGGGGGAAAGAAGAUGAGAUUAAAAAGGUGAGAUUUUUACGAGCAAAAUUAGCUUAAUUGGGAAAAGCAAUGAAUGAAGGAAGUAGAAAAGAAAAGAAAGAGGUUUUAGAGAGGAGAAGUGCGGCGAAGGAAAGGGAAAGACUUUGGAAGAAAAGAAAGAGGUGCAGAGAGAUAGAGGGGAGACAGAUGAAAAGAAAAAAAUGUUUUAUUCAUUAAUUUUCAAAAAUUUUAUUGUUAAUGACAAGGAAGAAAAAUUCGAAAACUAAAAAAAAAAAAAAAGGGGUGAGUAAAGGAAAAGAGAAAGAAAGAAAGAUAUAUUUUUCAUUCUUUGUGUUUAGUAUGAAAAGUGAAAAAUAGAAAGAACCAAAUAAUUGAUAUUUUUUUUAAUUUAGAGAGAAAGAGAGAUUAUAAGAUGUAAGAGUUAAUUUUUAUCUUUUCUCAGUCAAGACCGUAAAUUUUAUUGAAAAAAAUGGAAGAAUUUACCAUGAUAAAAAGUUCCCUAAAAAAAAGAGGCAAAAGGAGCGAAAGAUCUUUGUUUAUUGUCGUCUCAAAAGUCCAGAAAGCCAUACUCCAAUUGAACAAAAUCAUGACAUAACAAGGUCAAACUAAGAAGAAUUCAAACAUGUAUUCUUAUUCUUUCUUCAAAGGAUUACAUAAAUGGCAUAUGAACUACAAGGUUACAUUUCCAAGAAACAAUCUUAUUGAAAGUAUUUCAAAUAAUUUUUUUCCAUUCACUUGUUAAAAAUAUAGAGCACAACACGACAUAGGUUAUCCUACUUCUAGGUUCCGGAACAACGAGGCAUGCCAGAGGCAGGCGGCGGAAGGAUGCUUGUGUCAACGGUGGUUCCAUUCUUCACAAUGAAAACAGUGUCCAUACCC